rnacentral:lncRNA from 1 species
CACCUUUUGCUCAGACAGAGAAAACAAUAAUCAUUAAUUAGCGGCAGCUAGAAUCCUAUAAUCUAAUAUAUAUAUAUAAUUUUAUCAGCUCUGGGAAAUGAAGAGGCGAACGAUGCCGUUGAGAGUUGCGACCAAGCCUGCUCUAGCUUCUGCAGCGUGCAUGUUGGCAGCGCCACCGUGGUUGCUUAAGCAAAUGCAUCCAACUAGAUCGUCCUUGUGCUGAAUAAUUGGAUAUCGUAUCCACUUAAAGCUGCCUUGUGUAGUACGUCUUUGUGUCUCUCUUUAUAUUCCAAUAAGGUCGGUGAUCUUGAUGCCACACACUCAGAUGUGUGUUCAUCUCCAGAUACUACUCCAUGCUACCUGCCCUUUGUGUUUUGUUCAAUAACUGGGUAUCAUAUCCCAACCAGUAUGCCGUCUGUUUUGUGUUUGUUUCCUUCUAGUUCCAAAAGGGUCAUCAUGAUGUUACCUUCUUUCAAUAUGGUGCUUUGCAUGACUACUAUUGUAUGGUACCAUCUUGUGGCCAAUAAGUACAUCUUAUCCUAUGACCUUUGCUAUGACCCUUUGCAAAUAAGUAGAAGAUUGUUAUAAGCGUCAAUACUCCUUAUAAAUUGAUCGCUGCUGUGAGUUCCCUUUCAGCUUAUCGUAGGCAUACAUUAUUGCUAGCACGGUAAAGCCAAUCAACACGAAUGAUGAAGUAAAUGUAGCGGUACUUCUGUAUACCAACACCCUUACUUAAAUGUACCGGUGUCAUUCCCUACUGGCACAUAUAUUCUUAUAUGCUAGCCAGCUUGUAAAAUUAACCAAUUAAAAUAAUUAAUUCAAGAUAGAAAUAACUUAUCGGCUUCUCGAAGCAUGUGUAAUAUGAAUCGCUUCAUCUAUAUUGCUUUCAGGAUUUUGGGUAACUAAAUUUAACAUUUGCACAUACAAAUGUUAAAGUACAAAUGUUAAAUCUAGUUACCCAAGCAGAAUAUGAAUAUACUCUAUAGUAUAUAUAUACUAUAUAAAUCUAGUUAACAUUUAGUCUAAAUGUUAAAUCUAGUUACCUAAAAUCCUGAAAGCAAAAUGUAUAAAUAUAUAUCUUUUAAGGCAGUAUAAGCUUCGAUUCCUAUUGCUGCUCUGUUAAAUCUCAUCUUUCGUUGUGGCCCAACACUCUAGUAUGUAUGUUGCACCAAGCUUCCUUGAGCCGCUCUGCCCUCUGAUUUUGCUGCGUAGGGGAAUCUUUAUCAGGUUGGGCUGCUUCCAGUCAUACGAUGUGUGGCUUCAUAUCUUCUACAAGUUAGACAGGAAACCCGCGUUCUGGAAGAUUCUGCAACGUGCACGUUGGCGCUGCCACCGUGGUUGCUUAAGCAAAUGCAUCCAACUGAAUCGUCCUUGUGCUAAAUAAUUGGAUAUCGUAUCCACUGCUUAAAGCUGCCAUGUUUAGUACAUCUUUGUUUUUCUCUCUUUAUAUUCCAAUAAGGUCGGUGAUCUUGAUGCCACACACUCAGAUGUGUGUUCAUCUUCGGAUACUACUCCAUGCUACCUGCCCUUUGUGUUUUGUUCAAUAACUGGGUAUCAUAUCCUAGUCAGUGUGCCAUCUGUUUUGUGUUUGUUUCCUUCUAGUUCCAAAGGGGUUAUCAUGAUGUUACCUUCUUUUGAGGUGUCUAUGACUUUGUUAAUAUCAAUAUUAACCAAUUCAAUCUAUCUUAACUAUUUGUAAGGGGUAUGAUGUAUGCAUGAUUAUAACAAUGAUUGCGCAUACAAUCACUGCCAAAGAAACGGUCAAUACCAUAAAGACAUAUUACAGACAAUUCUCAUAAUUUAUAAUGAAUAUACAUAUUCACUACUGCAGAGACUGUCAUUUGUAUCAGCUCAUACGUGCCAGGGCAAAGGUCACCCUUGCAUUAAAAGUACAUUUGCACGGUAAAGAUAACCAACACGAAUAAUGAAGUAAACAUGCCGGUGCUUUUGUACACCAACACGCUUACUUAAAUGUACUGGUGUCAUUCCUCACCGGUAGCCGGCUUGAAAAUUAACCAAUUAGAACAAUUAUUUAUUGUAUCGGUGUGAAUUUUGACCUAUUGGAAUAUGAAUUUGACCGUUACUGCAUUCGUCAAGACUCAAGAGAGAAAUAACUGAUCGGCUUCUUAGAGCGUGUGCAAUGUGAAAUCAAGGACUGGAUGGAAGUUGAAGCGCUAGCUUCAUCUUCCGCUGCAUGUUAAUUGCUUGGAUAAGAAGUUGUAGCCGCGUAUAUAAAUAGUCCCGCUGAUGCUGUGCUCCGAAGUCUAUACUAUAUAUGCGAAAACUAGAUUGCUUUCAGGAUUUUGGGUAACUAAAUUUAACAUUUGUACAUAAAAAUGUUAGUUUACGAAUGUUAAAUCUAGUUACCCAAGCAGAACAAGAAGAUAGUAUAUACUAUAUACUAUGUAAAUCAAGUUAACAUUUAGUCUAAAUGUUAUAUCUACUUACCCAAAAUCUUGAAAGCAAAGAAAGAAUAAGUAUAUAUCUUUUGUUGGAAAAUUGGUCCACGGAGAGUGGCCUCGUUCGUUUCACCGGGAUGGAAUUCCAGUCAGGAUUACUUCCAAGUCCGGUUUAAGUGAUUCCACCCAUGUCACUCAAUUCGGCUAGGAUUCAUUCCAGGGGUGAGGAGGUAUGGUUUCAAUCCGGGCCAUCUAAUGUAGAAGGAUUCCAAUCCAGGCCGGUUUUCGUUCUAGGCUAGACUAAAACGAACAACACUUUCAAUGCAAGUCUGGUUUCAAACCGGGCCACUUCAAACCACCCGGAAUGGACCUCAUUCCGGGCCAAUCCGGUGAUAACAAACGAGGCCUUAAUGGAAUCCCAAAGCAAGAGUUCAGUGGCAUUCUAUAGUCCCAUGCUGCUAGUUUGAGUUGGUCGAAGCCAACUUAAAUAGGAGAGCUCUCUCACUUCUCUAAAAAUGUAACUGAAGGAGAGAAGGGGGCUUGGGUUACACAACGCACGCACGCACGCAUAUUUGCAUUCUUUUCGCGUAACCGACCGCGUGACUUGAAACUUGCGACGUAGCGUGCUGCUAAGUCAAGUUGAUAUAACCUUUUUGCCGUUUGCGUGUAAUCUUUUGACAACGGUCAUUGGAGGUGAUAAGCACGCAGUCAAUACCUUAAUCCUGAGUUAAUAGGGCGGUUACUACUGCCAAUUAGUGCAGCAAUUUUGUAGGGGAAACGGUUAGCAGAGGGCUACCGUCUUCUCUAUAAGAAGUUUUGGAGACGUUCAGGAACACACAUGUACAUGUGAGAGACCCACGGAUUCCUUCCCUUCUCCCUUUUCCAUCUGGUGAAGUGUGCUAUGGUACUGAGCUGCUGGAUCUCGCCGGCUCUUCUCCUUGGCGUGCACCGAGGAGGAGGGUGAGCGGUAUCUCUGAGCUAUUGCCGUCAGGAAGCCUGCACGAGGGACAACAAUAAAGUUUUUAGGUAGCGCCUGCCUAAUCUUCGAUCUGCACUGCAACGUGUAACCCUGCAGCAACUCUACACGAGGACGGAGCACUAAUCUGUAAGUCCUAGAUUGGUUUCUUACAUAGUUGUAGGUUACACAAGAUCUAGAAUGGUUACAUACCAAUUAUUAUGGGUUACAUGAUGUUUUGUACGGUUUCGUCUAUUUUGCAUAUGCUAUUUUUUCUAUUUUGCAUAUGCUAUUUUUACAUACCGUUUACAUGCAUAUGUUAAUGGUUACACCUAGCUAUUUGAAUCUAGAAUUGGGUUACAUAGCAGUAGCAAUGAGUUACGUAAUAUGCCUCACGUUUAUAUCUGGUAGAAUUUAACACGUAUCUCCAACAUAUUUUGAGGCAGUAUAAAUUUCAAUUCCUUUUGCUGCUCUGUUAAAUCCCGUCUUUCGUUGUGGCCCAACACUCUAGUAUGCAUGUAGCACCAAGCUUGUUUGAGCCGCUUUGUGCUUUGAUUUUGCUGCGUAGGGGAAUCUGUAUCAGGUUGGACUGUUUCUUUGUCUUGCGAUGUAUAGCUUCAUAUCUUCUAGAGGUUAGACAGCAAAACCCGCAUUCUCUUAAGGCAACAACCCGAAGAAUCUGCAGCGCCUCUGAUAUAUCACUGCUGCAGAAACGAUCUUUAGUACUGAUCUCCAACCCUCUUUAGUAUCGGUUGGGCAACCAGUACCACUAUGUCGGUACUAAAGGGAGUUCUCUAGAAUCGGAUCAAAUAACCGGUACUAAAAGGGCUCCUUUACUACCGGUUGGUAACAACAAUAGGUAGUGACUUUUUUGCACCCAAAAAAUUAAAGAAUAACAGCCGGGAGGCUCGCACACACACGCAUCAUGAGUAAUAUGCGCGUGCAUGGUUUGUGGGAUUUCAACCCACGACCAAGCUAUAAGAACGUAGUUACAACAAAUCAAACACUUAGACAUUUUAGAGCAUCCCAAAUAACUACAAAUUCUAUAGUUUACCAUAUACCAUAAAAUAUUAGUUAAAAUAAGAGCAUACACAUGUCGGAAGAGUCCCAAUGCACCGGUUGAGGAUCAGACCAGGCACUUUGAAUGCACAUGCCAUAAGAUAAUUCUGCAGGACAAUGAUUGCAAUAAUGGACCAUCGAGAAGAUAGGGGCGAUGGGGUUGCCUCAUCAAUUAUCACUUGGCGCAACAAGACCAGCAAAGUCUUUAUCGACAGGGGUGGAUCAAGGGGUGGGGCAGGCAGAGCUCCAGUCCUCCUACCGCCGCUCGAACAAUGGAGCCCCCUUAGCCCCUCCAUAAAUUUUUAGGUAGAAGAAAAAAGAAGAGAAGGGAAGCAAGGGGAAGAAGAGGGAGCCCCUACUAAGUAGGUCGCCAUCGUGCUUCCCAACGCAUGAUCGCCGCACCGCAUCCAUUCCUCUACAAGCCUUCAGCGUCUCUCCCGCCGCUACCUCUGAACCAUGUGCAGCUAUAGACCCAACUAGUGUGUUGUCGCCCAUCUCAGUCCCAACAGAGCGGCGGCGGCUGCCAACACAAAUCUCCCUCCGCCUCUUCUUCACGGUCGAUGGCCGCCACAAGCAUAAACCUCGCCUUCGCAUCCAAGCAAAAGGGUCGUUGGGGUGCCUUCUUGCAUCACUUCUCAGCCUCCUUCACUUGCGGCCAGCGAAGAACUGCGCCACCACCUCGGGUGCGUGCCACCACUCCAGGGCCGCUACCCCAUGCCUGCGGCCGCCACCGGCCACCACGCGUGUGCAACCGCGUUGCACCGCUUCCCUGCUUUGUGCCACCACUACUGCUGUACCACCAGCUCCACCACCUUGGGAUGGUCGCCAGGGUGACUGAUUGGUGGAUUAUUACUAAAAAUAAGUUCCUUAUUAUCUGCAACUACUAUUAACUCAGAGAUACAUGCGUCUUUUCCUUCUCCUGCUAAUAGGUCCUAAAAUAUCUAGGAUGCUUUAUAUUUCUGGACAGAGGAAGUAUUUGAAUAAAAUGAACCAAUUUAAAAAAAAUGUGUUGUACACUACUACAGAAAGACCUAUCAGUGUCAAACCCAAAAAUGUCGUCACCGCCAGUUUUAGGCAUCGUUGGUGAAAGGUUGGCGGUGAUGGGCAUCCCCUUCAACAACGGCACUGGAGCCGACGGUGAUUGACAUUAGAAAACAAAAAAGGGAACCCCACCUAGCCACCCCUGCAACCCAGCCGGCCGUGCCUCCCCUCAUGCCCACCACCUCGCCUCCCCCGUGACCCCCCGCCGGCGCCCUUGUGCCUAGCCCCCUCGCCUGCCCGGCCGGCCACCCUCGUCAUGAGAGAGAGAGGUGCAUGUUGUAUAAUUGCGUGAAUUUUUGAAUGUUUAAUUUUAUGUAAGUUCCAUGUAAUAAAUUGUACAAGUUUUAUUGUAUAUAUGAAUUCCAUAUAUAUAUAUUUAUAAUUUAAUGUAUGGUUUCAUGUGUAUAUUUCAAUCAUGUGUAUAAUUAGUAGAUUGCCGAUUUUCUUUUUCUACUAGACAAGGGUUGAUGUAUAAUUACGUGUAUAUGUUUAUUGUAUGGGCAAUUAGGACAAGUUUUGUAUAAAUUUCUUUUAUUUCAUGGUUGUUGUAUGGUUUCAUGUAUAUACAUUUAUUGUACUACUUGAGACAAUUUUAAUUUAAUAUUUCUAUGAUUACAUGUGUGUAUAACUAAUUGUAUUAUUAGUUAAGAUGGGAGCCAAAGAGGAUGAAAGGUAUAUAAUAGAGUAGAUUAUUGCUGGCGGUAGUGGCUCAAACGUUGCAAGAACCUACACCGAGGGUGAGGGUAGCUAGGUGGACAUGUACCUCAACAUGUCCAGUGAUGGCAAUGACGAUGAGGAGCACGAGCAUGACGUCUAUGAUAAUGCGGAACAAGACAUUGCAGAAUUGGAAGGUUCUAAUGAGGUGUGCUUCAUGUUGACGAUCUAGUUGGCUUUUUUUCUUUGGUCACACCUUAGUUACCAUAGAACUUCGUCUCGGGAGAAGAUUGGUGGUGCUAUGGUGAUUGGAAUUUUAUUGCCUCCAAAUUUGAUUUCCAUCGAAUCAUAUCCCUUGUAUUUAUCUUCUUUUUAUUUGUGAGAGCAUCUUCUUUAUGCUUGCAAAACAAUUCAAGUGCACAUACUACCCCUAGGGUGAUGAUUGGGAGUAGAAACAAUUGCCAACAAAACAACACCACAUCCUAAGAUUCUUAACUUGUGGCAUAAUUAAUCUAGUGAAAAGAAAGAUAAAAACCUAAUGGGUGUACGUGAGUGCAAUGUGUAUAUGCAUAUGAGUGGAAGGCAUAUAAGCAAAGACAAUAUUUACACAUAGUUCUAAACACGAUGUUUACAGCUAGGUUGCUGAAUUUCUCCAUAGCUAUAGAGAUUAAUUAACCAAGGUCAAAACACGAUGUCUAUCCCAAGAUCAGUAAUUCUUUAUAGCACAAGAAAAAGAAAGCGCAUUGCAAAGUUUAUAAACCAACCAAUACAGCAUGAAAACAAGAUGAAUAGCUAGCAAGGUUUAUUAAAUUGAAUGAUGACGGUCUGCAAGCAAGUUUGAACACCAUCUUUACACAAGAUUGCAAAUGGAAAAUGCCCAUAUGAAGCACUAACAUGGAUAUGAAAUCAUUCAUCAUAAAGCGUAAAGAACAACCAAGUAGUUUUUAAUGGCAUAUACAUGUAUAAUAUAGUUUAGGUGCUAAAAUUGAUAUUCACAGCUAUUUUGGGCUCCAAUUCGCGUCCAAACCAACCUAGCCCACAGACCACACCCGGCCGGCCAGCUCAUCGGCCCAUCUAGUCACUGAUCCUUCCACCACCACACUCAGCCCAUCAGUCGGUCAGGUCCCGAGCUCCUGCCUGACCUAGUCCGCUACCGCCGCCAGGCGCCAAGCACAGCCGUACGCACUGCACCGCCCCCGUCCACCCAUGUCCGCUGCGCGGCAAAGCCGCGCCCCCCAGCCCCCGCGGUGAGAUCUCGACGCCCGCUGCCGCCAGACCCCAUUAGGCCUCCACCGGCAAGUCCACCCACAGUCCCACACGACCUAGUCCGCUNNNNNNNNNNNNNNNNNNNNNNNNNNNNNNNNNNNNNNNNNNNNNNNNNNNNNNNNNNNNNNNNNNNNNNNNNNNNNNNNNNNNNNNNNNNNNNNNNNNNNNNNNNNNNNNNNNNNNNNNNNNNNNNNNNNNNNNNNNNNNNNNNNNNNNNNNNNNNNNNNNNNNNNNNNNNNNNNNNNNNNNNNNNNNNNNNNNNNNNNNNNNNNNNNNNNNNNNNNNNNNNNNNNNNNNNNNNNNNNNNNNNNNNNNNNNNNNNNNNNNNNNNNNNNNNNNCCCCCCCUCCACCAGGACUGCUUGUUGGCCCCCACCGCGAGGUAAUCAAAAUGGACGGCUCAAUCACUCAAUCUGUUGACAUGAUGCACACGGUUGCAAAAAUAGAUGUGUCAAAAUAGAUAUAUUGCUAAUUGCUAUAGAUGCAUACGGUUGACAUGAAGAAGUUAAAAAUGACAUUUGGUUCCUUGUAGGCAGUCAAAAAUGAAGUCAAAAAAUAUUGAUCUGAAAUCAAUGUGGGAAAGGGCUACGAAGACACACAGAUUCCCUUGUGAACUUUUUAUGUCAUUCGUCUAAAUAUUUUUUUGCAAUGGGCAUACCCUACUCUGAAAUCCUGGGUCUGCCACUGAUGAUGAUGGUCUAAACAUAAAACAAGCCAAGAUUAAUUAGCCACAACUGAAAUUAAACAAAGGUUAAUGUCAUUGACCCUAGCUCUAUCCUAGCUUUUACAAAAGUCCCGGCACAUAUAGUGGUUGGGCCCACUCUCUCUGCUUCCCUCUCUGCUGCAUGCAUGCACACGAGCAACGGGAGGCCCCACAAAGCCCAGAAGGGUUCGGCUGAACCCGGCCGAUCCAAUCUGAGCACCACUCCCUCCCAGCCUUCGCGCAGAUGCUCCUCCAACAUUCCUUGACCCCUCCCUCAGCGUCCCAUUGGGUUUAACAUUGCAGGAGAGGAGUCCCUUUUUUAAAAUCUCAACCACCUCCUCUCCUCAUUCACUCCACUCUCAUCUCCAUCAAACUCACCAAGAUCCACAUCGGAAAUCCCUGCUUACCACCAUGGCUGGCAAAGCCCUCGUCCCUUUCACCAACUUGGGCUUAACCAUUGAUCUCGAUGGGGAAAUCACUCCGGAAAUAGGGCAGUGACCCAGAGCAAAGGUGAUGCCAGAGUGUAGAUAGCAGUUAGCAUGCCAAAUUGUGAACCGCAAGCGCUCGGAUUAGUUGUUUUUUUUCCCUUAGAGAUUCCCCCAAGGUUUAUCAAUCCAUGGAACAAGGGAUUUGCACAUUUCACUAAGCAUUAAUCAAUGUAAUUGAAAGCUUUUUGAAUAAGAUAUGAUUAUGCUAACAAAGGAACUAAGCAAUCUAGAUUAAGAUGGAUAGAGAGUAAAGGUUGUGAACAAGAUAGAUUAAACGCUUAUAGAUGCAAUCACCAUGCAUGAAUGAAUUAGAUCUAGGUGUUAUUGUGAGUGGUUGUGAACCAUACCCCAACACUUUCCCACCCGCAACAUUGUCACUACAUGUGGGUACUCAACUAUCGAAACAUAAGAACACAUCAAGAUGAUCAUUCUAGGUAAGCAAAUAAGCAACCCAAAGUAGCGCUGGCCAGCCUUUUCAUGAAAGAGCAUCAUCAAGAUAAGAUUGAUAACAAAAUAGAUCUCAACCAAAGGUUCAGCGAUUACAAAUCAAGAUCUCCGUAUAACCCCGAUGACAAAUAGAGGUAUUACCCCCAUGAUCUUACACAUGUUGAUGAAUUUUAGGGUAAAGGACGCCCUGUAGAUCAACUGGACCAAAGAUGAUGAUGAACAGGGGCAGGGAAGGCCCAGGCUGAUCAGCCUGGGCACUUUUGAGCCGAUCAGCUUAGGGAGUUUCCUCCUCCCCUGGUGCUCCUCUUCGCGUGGCCUCCUCUGGAUCCAAUCUUCUCUUCAUUUCUCCUACUUGUGGUGGCAAUGGAUGGUGUUUGCAUGGUGAUUUCCUCUUCUCCCCAACUCUCCCUCCUUGAAGUCCAUGAGGGGGUAUUAAUAGUCUCCAAUAUGCGGCAGCUCUGGGUCAAUGUCGGUGAAAAAACCCUAGAGAUCAUCGUACACUUCACGCUGAGGAAACAAGAGGUCGACCGAGCCCUGGGAUAGACCAAGAGGAUCAGCCUAGAGGGUCCCAGGCCAAUCGGUCUAGGCCCUUCCUAGCCCUUCUAGUCCUCUCCUUCCUCGUGCUGGCUUUUCUCGAUGACCCUUGUCCAAAUAUCCAUUAAGCUCUAUAUACAUACCCCCUUGAUUAUGUCGUAUUUCCUGUCAAAAUACAAUGCUCCAAAAUACAACACAUAUGCAAUAAUAGGGUUAUUUCAUGUGCCAAUUGGUGCGUUAGUAUACGAAUAAGCAUGAAAAUACUGGUUAAAUGACACUAAAAGUGUGUCAAUAACGAGCACCAACAAUCCCCCCACGCUUAGAUCUUGCUCGUCCUCGAGCAAGUCUAGCGACUAAAAGAUCUUGAAUUAAACAUGAGCAAGCGAGUCAAGUACCUAGCCUUGAAACAAAAGAUUAGAGGAGCAGCAAAGAUAAUCAAAGUCUGGGUGUUCAAAGAUUUAUCUAAGCAAAGAUUCCCCUACAACUAUUAUUCAGAACCAAGUAACUUCAAGAAUCAACUACACUUAUUUUCUGGCUUUUUUCAGAGGGUUUUUCUUUCAUCACAAAACAAUCUCCCUGCAACAAAAUUGAAAAAAGAAUUAUUUUCCAGGUGCUUACAUGUCGUUUAAAUGAAUGUUCGCUAUCCUACUUAUUUGCAAGCUCUCAUCUCUCAAAAUUCAUUCAAUUAUAUGGUGGAGCUUGGGUAAGGUUAGCUAGAAUCAACACGUAUAUUAUUGAAUUAAGAAAACCCUCUAACGGUAGCCUACCUUUCGAGCCAUUGAUCAUAAGAAUAUCCACAUAAUGUGAAGUUUUCAAGGAUGAGAAUAGAAUGGUGGACAUGUGCAAAGGAAAAGAAAUAUAGUGACUCUGAGGCACAAGCAAUGUCCUCGUCGUUGGAUUGCAUAUGGUUGGAAUGAAAAUCUGUUCCUUAAACAAGUCCAUCUUUUCUUUGCACCACUCUUGAUCUUCAUGACAGUAAAAACUCCUCCUUUAUUUCUUUCUCUCUUUUCCUAUUAUUUCUUUUUAUUUGUCUCAAUACUUUUCUUUCUUUAUUUCUUUAUUUUAAUCUCUUCUCCGAACCUCUUCUGAACACCACACAAUAAAAAUCAGUUUUAGAUCCUUCUAGAGACCUUCCAGGAAUUUGCUACAUGAAAACCGAGGCAAGGAGACCCCAGGCCGAUUGGCCUGGCCACUCCUUUGCUCUCCUCUAGCUCUUCUUUCUUGUGAAGCUUCCUUAUCUUGUAUCUUUCCAAAAAUUUCAUAAAGCUCAACUAGAAACGGAACACAUCUUCAUAUAAUGAGUUGUGUUCAAGGAAUUGGUAAUAAAAUUGAGAAAUUUGUGGUUCGGGUUUACGAAUUCAGUACAAAAAUAUGAUUAUUCCAAUGAAGAACUCUCAUUACUGAAUAUUGACGAGGCAAGCAUUCAAAGAUGGUAAAAAGGAUAUGAUCAAUUCUCAGAAUUAAAGCAAACCAAGAGAGAGCGAUCCUAAUUCAAUUCAAAGUGUCAAAUGUUGCUUAUGGUGGUAUGAAUAAAUAUUUUUAGGCAUUGGGUAGGAUAAAUAAAAACUCUCAACCUGGUUAAAAGAUAUUGAUCAAUCUUGUUUUUGCAGAGGUUUUAAAUAAAAAAUAAAAUUUUAAAUCACCUCCAAUUCAAAGCCUUACUCAUAAAUCAUAAUCAAAACUGAAGCACUUGAUCAUCAUAAAGCAUGGGUAUUGCAUAAACAAAUCGAUUACUAAAACUCCACAACUACGAUUUAGAAUUCAAGACAAUGCUCAUAAUCUAAAGUUGCAAAGACAAAAUAAAAGACAAGCAAGCCAAGGUAGACACUAAAAACACUUGCACGAUCCUUGAAUUUUAUUCAUGCUUCUUCUCACAAAGACGCUAAAGUAGCCAUGUAGGCCUAAGUCUUCCCAAAAGCUUAAGAAGACUACUACUUUAUCUACUUUUGGUUGAAAUAAAAAUACUAAUCUAGACUCUCACAUGAUUCGACUCGACCAAACUAGAUCCAAAAACUCAUACGAGCGACAAUCUCCCCCCCCCCUCUCAAAUCUACGACCUCCUCGUGGUAACCAUAUGGAGUACAAGGAAAAGACGCUUGUAAACGCACUAAUGACGCUACCCGGACUACUUGCACACGGAAUGGUUGUUGUUUCCUUUGCUUUGUUCUUCGUCAUGUUGCUGCACAUCCCGAAGAGCUUCCUCACGUUCCUCUGCAAGAACUUGAACUUGAACUUGUCCUCCUGACGGCAAUCAUUAUCUUCUGCCUUUUGAUCCAGAGCUUGUAAGGCUUGCAUGAUGUCAUCGAACGCAUCGAAGAGGUAGUGGAUGUUCUUCCUGCAAGCUGUGGAACAUGUACGAUCAUGCUCCUACGAUUCUGGCCCGUCGUCUUCUAGAUCCUCCUCUUUGCCCUUGUCUUGACGGUGGCCAUCUUGCUCCUUGCUCGUCUUCUUGCCUUCAGCCCGAUCCCAGUACGUGUUGUCAUCUUCUUCAUCGUCACGGCCUGCAGCACCCUAUGAUCCAUUGUCUAUCUUGUAUGAAAGAAUCAGAAGCUUGUUCUCCUCAGGGUGUCUUGCGCGGUGCAGCGUUUGCAAGUGCAAGGCUUGCUAGUUCUUUUUACACAUUGUAAUGUUCAUUGCAUGCUCUAAUUGUUCUACAUUUGUAAUUUCUUGGUGAAGUUUGGUUACUGAUCCACUGUUUGAUUAACUCUUGGGCCCAAACACUGUACUACUUCUGAUUAGAUAUCUGUAUCUUAACUUUGACCAAAAAAAAUAUCCGGCAGUUUUUGCCAUUAAAGUUUCAUAAAUCAUCUUGCAAAAAUCGUACUAUACAACAAGGGACGGUUUAUUAUAAAAUAUACGUUCCCCUUAUCACAUGCCACUUCCACUCAAAAGGCAACGAAUCAGUUUUCAAUCCUGAGUGAGCAAUUUGCUUUUAUUACCGAUGCCUCCUAUUCCCUUGUGCACCAAGUUCAUUUUGGAUAGGACUGCAAAAAGCGACUAACCAGCUCGGAUUCUCCACCUGCAAAACCGCAUCUGCAGCAACCAACCCCACGCGGUGGAAAAAAAAACAAAACCCAGAAACCGGACGGGGGUGGAUGUGGGGCUCGGAGCCCAAGCAAAAAAAAGGAUCGGGAGCGCCGGAGCAGGCCAUCACCGGAUGUUAGAGAUAGAAAAUGGUUGAAGUUGGAGUGGAAAUCAAACAAGCCUUGGAGCAAAGGAAAAAAAAGAUCAAACCACUCAAGCAUUCAUUUGAUUUAGAAAAGAGAACAUUUGUUAAGGUGGGGAGUUGAAAUCAUCUUUUAAUUAGUUCCACGUAUCUGGUAUCAUUACAGUUGGUUUACUUGUGUAAGUAUAUAAGUAGCUCUGCCGAAGCCUUUGCUCCUAUAAUUUAGUAACUAGUACAAAUGGAUCAUUAGGAAAAUCAAGUUGCAAUCAUUUCUCAGCCAACCAAACCUAUCUAAAUCAAAUUAUUGUCCAUGCCCGGCAUGCACAGGUGCCUGCCAUGCAUGCAUUGUUGCUCCAUUGUAAUAACCAUUAUUGUCCAUUGAUGUUCCAGCGCAUGUGUGCACUGUGCAGACACCAAGCAUCGAGAUUAUGUACUAGUAAGGUACCAAGAACACGUGAAGCACACGGGGGAGGCUGCUCCACUCGGCAUGCACAGGUGGGGCACGGCACCACUACUCGUCUCCUUCAGGCAGAGGACAAGUGAUGUACGCUGAUCAACCACUAGUAGAAAAACGACUUUCCAUCCGCCCCUUUUGUCCCGGUUUAAAGUUGGCCCGGGACAAAAGGUUCACCAACCGGGACUAAAACUCGGUCACUGGUGGGGGGCUCACCAACCGGGACCUUUUAUCCCGGUUGCAAAGGCUAGUGGGAAAAAAAGACUCUGAGAGGCCUUUUAUCCCGGUUUGAAACACCAACCGGAAUAAAAGGUGGUCUUUUAUCCCGGUUGGUGUUUCCAACCGGGAUAAAAGGGUCCCCCACGAGUUAAUACAAAAGGAUAGUAUCCCCUAUAUAGUCAGAUGUGGUGUGUAGGUGGGAUGGCAAGGAAGCUACGCGCGAGGCUGGAGGUUGUGGGUUUGAAUCCCACGAACCGCGCACCCCCACCACGGCAAACGGAGGUGAUGGCGGAAGGUGAGGCAACGACAGUAGCUGGUGAGCUCCCGCUCCAAUGUCUCGCGAGUGAAGGAGGAGGAGGUGGCAUGGGAAUCGAAGAGGAGGCCGCCGCUGGCGGGUUUAGACUACGUGGAUGUGUGGGUAGGGUUAAGGUGACGGUGUGGACUAGUAUAUAUAAGAUGUCUGGGCUUGUUAGAAUAAGAUAACAUUCUAACCGGCCAAAUUCGGACCCGGUUAGAUUAAAUUGAUAUUCUAACCGGUCCUAUUUCUAGGUGGUAAGAAUAAGUUAACAUUGUAAUUGGCUUUAUUUGGAACCCGAUUGAAUCUUCUUGUUAUUCAAAAAAACAUCAAGUUCAUCAAUUUUAAUCCAGAAAAACAUCAAGAUAAUUUAAGCACGAUAUAUAACAAGAUUAAUAAAUUUAAUAAUUGUUUGAUCCACAAAUUAACGAUAUUUAACAAAUUCAAAAAAUCCAAAUUAACAGAACACAAUAACCAAUUGUUCGAAAAAAUCAAAAUAAUCCACACACAUUAAUAUAUUACAAAUUCAGAAAUAUAUCAAAAUAAUCCCCGAUCCACUCGAUACCGUCAUAGGACUUUUAAAUACUGAGCUUCUUGAUUCGUCUGAGGUCCACGUACUCGUCUCAGUAACACUAGUGAUGGCCAUGCAUCUUGUAGAUGUCUUCUAACGAAUCAAGCUUGACGUACAAGGUCAUGCCUUCCGCUCCUUGAGGAUAACCAUCUUUGGUGAUCUUGAAAUGGCAGACGGUGGAUGUGCCAAAGGUACGUAACGAUCCUUCUAAAUGUAUGCCACCACAACUUCCGUCUGAUCGCCAUGGGUGACACCAAGAAGAGCUACCAUGCGGCAAGGGACGAACAAUUUAUCAAUUAGUGCCGCUGUCCAUUCGCCAUCAUCUAAUCCAGCCAUAUCUUGAUGUAUAUUUAAGUAUAGAAAUUAAGAUUUAAAAAUAAACAGAAUAAAUUGAGAUCGACUAUGUAUGUAUAUCAGAACAUUAGCUUUUGGAAAAAGGGCUUCGAUGGAAGAGAGGCACGGGGCAUAGAGACAACAACGAGUGACAAUAUGUCAGAAGAAUACCCGAUCACAAUUAUUGGCUACAGGACGGGCACACACAGCCGAUAUUUACAGUAGUCAAUACCCCUGGUAAAUAACCACACCAUCAAGAGUAAAUAGUGACAAUAUGCAGUAUAUACACGACAUAGCCUUGGUUGCCGUGGAAGCGCCAGAAGGGAGACAAAUAACAGGGACCACAACAUCAAGUAGAUAGUGACAAUAUGCAGAAGAAUACCCGCGCCUGUUAGCAUGUGUGAACUGACCACACCACGAAACGUGAUACACGGCAAGCGUACCAAGGCCUUGCUGUGCAGACUAUGCAUGGACAACACAUGGUACCUGACCGCUUUUGGCCUCAGACACAUCGAAAAACUGCAUCGUUCCACGUUGUACAUCCAUUGCUAGUUUAUCUAUAUUACAUAAUAUAUUAUUAGCUAUUUGAAUAGAAUGAACCAAUUAAAAAAUUGCGUUGUAUUUUAGUACCGGCUGCAGGAUGGUGUUACCAACCAGUACUAAUUGGCCUGUAGGAGUGAUGGUUAUUAGACUUGGUACUGUUGUUAGCAUCAUUAACCUAAUUGUGCGCGGUAUGAAUUUGGGGAUGCAAAGCUAGCUCUCUAUGAAUGUGAGGGAUGGAAAGCUAGUUCUCUAGUAGUAAUUAGCUAUAUAUAUAUGUCAGUCAAGAAAUCGAACACUAUGCUGCUACGAGUCACCAUCAUUUCCUUCAUUGACAAUCUGACAUAGGUGAAGCUGCUUCAAGAAUUUCCUUCGCGCAGUCGUGGAGCUUAUUGGAUUAUCACCAGGACGGGACACGGAAAUGGCCAGCAAUGAAGCUGAUUGCCGUCUGAGGAAGAUUACAUACUUACCUAUGAAAUGAAGCGAUUGCAUAGACUAAUGAAGCAUUGCAUAUUUGCAUGUGAGUGUGGCAGAUAAUUCUGCAGGACAUGAUUGCAAUCCACGCACCAUCGAGAAGACUGGGGCGAUGGGGUUGCCUCAUCAAUAAUCACGUGGAUGCAUGCAUGCAUGUUCCCGCAACCGGACAAGGGUCUGAUAUAUGGCUAUAGUAUUACUGAGCCCACAUCAAUAAUUUCCGCUGGUGUAUCGUGUGGGAAGAAUCAACAUACUACACCUCGAGUUCUUGGAACUAACUGACGUUCACAUGCAACCUCCACAAGGUGCUGUAUAUAUGCUUUUGACAUUCACCUGCCAGUUCGUGUAGAGGACACCCUAACGUAUGGUUAAUAUUAUCCAUUUCAUGAGUAAAAUACUGUGAUUCAAAAAUACUUCAAAUCCCUUGAGACAAUACUUCUCACUUGACUAACCACUAACCAACCCCGAAACCCUAACUCAACUCCGAACCCUAACACCUAACGGCAUAACCACUCCGUUUUGCCAGCCAGAUGGAGGAACUGGCUGGGAGGGAGAGAGGGCAGCGGUCCAGGGUUGAAAACGACGGGCGAGCGCAGUAACAUGUGGAGGAGGAAGUGCCACGUAUUCGUUCACCGCUAUUGGGCAGCGACACACAACACGCCCAAUAAGAUUUUCGCACGGUAGAAGGGCGCCAUGUAUUCAAUAAUGUUAUUGGUCCUCCAUGUGCAGAAGGGCGCGUAUGGAAUAACAAGUAGGGACACUGCAACUAAUCUACUCUGCUCGUCCAGUCCCUAGCCUAUAAAUAGAUGCCAUGCUAGCUCUUGUUGUGCUCACAGUUAAUCCGAUUACACACGAGCUUCUCUCCCUGGCCAAGACACAAUCAUAGUAUGAUGAAGAACAUGGCACUAGCCGGCAAUGGUAUGAAGAAGUUAAUCCUCGCUGUUCUCUUACUGUGUCUAGUUAUAGGGCAGAUACAAGUGGAAGCUAAGAGCUGCUGCCCAUCCACCACUGCAAGAAAUGUCUACAAUACCUGCCGUUUGACGGGUGCAUCCCGUCCAACGUGUGCAAAACUGUCAGGCUGCCAAAUUAUCAGCGGGAACAAAUGCAAGCCCCCUAACGACCACCUCACCCUUGACCCGGACACUGGUAAAUAAUAAAUUUAUCUCACUUGAUUUCUUUGUGUUUUGAGUCGUUAAUGUAUUUUCCAUCUGAUGAAACGCAUUGGUUUUGCAUUGAAGAGGAAGUUAAUGUGCUUAACUUCUGCAAGUUGGGGUGUGCGUCGUCUGUGUGCAACAACAUCAACGCUGGUAAGCACCUUUUGCUCAGACAGAGAAAACAAUAAUCAUUAAUUAGCGGCAGCUAGAAUCCUAUAAUCUAAUAUAUAUAUAUAAUUUUAUCAGCUCUGGGAAAUGAAGAGGCGAACGAUGCCGUUGAGAGUUGCGACCAAGCCUGCUCUAGCUUCUGCAGCGUGCAUGUUGGCAGCGCCACCGUGGUUGCUUAAGCAAAUGCAUCCAACUAGAUCGUCCUUGUGCUGAAUAAUUGGAUAUCGUAUCCACUUAAAGCUGCCUUGUGUAGUACGUCUUUGUGUCUCUCUUUAUAUUCCAAUAAGGUCGGUGAUCUUGAUGCCACACACUCAGAUGUGUGUUCAUCUCCAGAUACUACUCCAUGCUACCUGCCCUUUGUGUUUUGUUCAAUAACUGGGUAUCAUAUCCCAACCAGUAUGCCGUCUGUUUUGUGUUUGUUUCCUUCUAGUUCCAAAAGGGUCAUCAUGAUGUUACCUUCUUUCAAUAUGGUGCUUUGCAUGACUACUGUUGUAUGGUACCAUCUUGUGGCCAAUAAGUACAUCUUAUCCUAUGACCCUUUGCUAUGACCCUUUGCAAAUAAGUAGAAGAUUGUUAUAAGCGUCAAUACUCAGUAUAAUUGAUCGCUGCUGUGAGUUCCCUUUCAGCUUAUCGUAGGCAUACAUUAUUGCUAGCACGGUAAAGCCAACCAACACGAAUGAUGAAGUAAACGUAGCGGUACUUCUGUAUACCAACACCCUUACUUAAAUGUACCGGUGUCAUUCCCUACUGGCACAUAUAUUCUUAUAUGCUAGCCAGCUUGUAAAAUUAACCAAUUAAAAUAAUUAUUUCAAGAUAGAAAUAACUUAUCGGCUUCUGGAAGCAUGUGUAAUGUGAAUUCAAGGACUCGACGGAAGUUGAAUCACUUCAUCUAUAUUGCUUUCAGGAUUUUGGGUAACUAAAUUUAACAUUUGCACAUACAAAUGUUAAAGUACAAAUGUUAAAUCUAGUUACCCAAGCAGAAUAUGAAGAUAGUUUAUAGUAUAUAUAUACUAUAAAUAUACUAUAUAAAUCUAGUUAACAUUUAGUCUAAAUGUUAAAUCUAGUUACCUAAAAUCCUGAAAGCAAAAUGUAUAAAUAUAUAUCUUUUAAGGCAGUAUAAGCUUCGAUUCCUAUUGCUGCUCUGUUAAAUCUCAUCUUUCGUUGUGGCCCAACACUCUAGUAUGCAUGUUGCACCAAGCUUCUUUGAGCCGCUCUGCCCUCUGAUUUUGCUGUGUAGGGGAAUCUUUAUCAGGUUGGGCUACUUCCAGUUGUGCGAUGUAAAGAUUCGUAUUUUCUAGAAGGUAGACAAAAAACUCGCGUUCUCUUAAGGCAACAACCGGAAGAUUCUGCAGCGCAUAGGGCAUACCAUUAUUGUAGAAACGACCUUUAGUACCGAUCUCCAACCCCCUUUAAAACUGGUUUUGCAACCGGUACCGUUAUGUCGGUCCUUUAGUACCAGAUCAAAUAACCGGUACUAAAAGAGUCAACUAAAAGGACUCUUUUAGUACCGGUUGGUAACCAGUAUCAACUUGUUUUGUGGCCAAAAAAAUAAAGAAAAAAACAGUCAGAAGGCUCGCACACACGCGCAUCACAUGAAAUAUGCGUGUGCGGGGUCCAUGGGAUUCGAACCCAUGAAAUCAAGCUACGCGCGACCCUUCGUUACCAUCUCACCUGAAGUAACCCGUGGAGGAGGCUUUAGUACCGGGUCAUAACACCACCCGGUACUAAAAGUGACUCUUCAGUACCGGGUCAUAACACCACCCGGUACUAGUAUCGGAUGGUGUAAUGACCCGAUACUAAAAGGCCUCUAGGGACCCUCAAAUUUGAACCCGGUACUAAUGCUAAUAUUAGUACCGGGUCAAAGUGCAGCCAGAACUAAAGCAUGGGAUGAAAGGUCAUAUUUCUAGUAGUGUAUAGUUGUUGUGAAGGACUUACUUGGCUGUCCUCUCUCUUCUCCAUCCCCUUGGUCUUACGCCGCCGCUCGCACGCGAGCUGGUGCCCAACCAGAGGAGUGAGAGCUAGGGGCAGGUUGGGAGGUGGGGAUAGCGACUGGUGGCCAGGGUGAUGGUUGAUCCUGGCGGGGUUAGGGUUUUAGGGUUUUCGAGCUUCCUAUGGUCGGCGAACCUAGAGGAGGAGCUCAACAUCAGCUGCAACCCGCGAUGGUGGUGGUUUGGCCAGCGCCCGAGGCGAGGCAGCGCGGGAGUGCUGCCGGUGGGUUGGUGUUGGCACUCAUUAUUGACAACUAUUUUGUUCAUAAAAUAACACUCAAACUUGCUGCUGCUGCCGCCGCCAUCGCCACCCUAGCCAUAAUAUAAAGGCAAAAUUUGCUAAAGGACAUGCAAAAUGAUGCUAGUUUGCUGGCGGGCAUCGUUGACCUUGUAAUAUGCUACAAGACACUCUAGUUGUGUAUCAAUUUGCUGAAAGACAUUGCUAUGACUAAAAUAAUGUUUCUGGACUGAGUUGGAGAGAGAGAUGGAGUGAAAUGUCUGUUUUGCCCAUGACCCCACUGGUCAGAUCCUUCUUCUUCCACCCUCCUUUGUUCUUUCUUCAACCAUUACCCAGCUCCAGCGUGUUGCAGAUCUACGAGGGUGGCGGCCUGGGGCGAGGGGCAUUGCUCGCCCUCGGAGGAGCGCUGCGAGCGACGGCGCGGGGGCGGCAACCGCGCGUCAGAACCUGACUGUUCGUUAGCUCCUCUCGCUGCUGGGGAAGAAGGAGGGGGAUGGGCCAUGGACGGGGUUCCCUUGAAAACCUCAGCGUCGAGCUCGGGCGGCUACGCGCAGGCAGCACUAGGCUGCUUCACGGGGAGGGGGCGCGGCCAAUCAUUGGCACCCCACUGGUCCAAUGCUGAUGAAGAUGGUGCCAGCGUCGUGUGAGGACAUCUCAUCUCCUCGAGUUCCAUGGCCAGCACAGGUGAGCUGCCGCUACCACAAAACAGAGAUUUCGUGAGAGUCAAAAAACCUUAUGAAAAUAGCUAAAACCAUCAUGAAAAUAAUCCGUGACAUGACACUCUCACGAAAAUCCUCUCACAAAUAUGGUGCCAUGAAAAUACCAUUUUCAUGAGAGUGAACUGUCAUGAUUUUAUUUCGUGAGAGUAUUUCCUAUCAAUGACCUCCACGAAAUACUUUGUGCCACCAGGUCUUCAAGAUCAUUUUCAUGAGAGCUGAACAUCAGGAAAAGUCCGCCACAAAUGUUUUUCUUGGAGCCUCUAACUCUCAUGAAAAUCAUGCGGGCCGCCACGAAAAACAGCAUGACCAAAUGACAAAUUUUAUUUUCAUGUGUUCAUACCGUGAAAAUGGUCAUUUUCAUGAGAGUUGAUGAAACAAAAAAUAGUGCCAUUUUCAUGAGAGUUCAAGCAACCAGGAAAAGACACUAAUAAACAUCCAGAUCCCAUCCAGCACACAUCCAUGCACACAUAUAACCCACAUAUUGCUCCAGCACACAUCCAUGCAUAUACAAGAUCCAAAUGUUAAUAUAGUAGACAUCCAUGCCUGAACUAGUCUGCCACACAAGUCAUUGAUGCUACAAAUCCUACAAUCGCAGCAUGUGCAUACAAGUCACAGAAUGAGACAAUGUACCCAAAACUAAAAGGUUAGCAUCAACUGUGCUUCAACCAAAGUUGUCAUCCCAACUCUCCUCUUCAUCCAUGCCAUUCUUGUCAUGGCCGUCACUGUCAGUCCCCAUGGCAUUGCCAAUGCUGUGCAUGUCUUGGUAGGAACCUACAUGUGAUGAACCAGUAACCUGCAAAAAGAACUCAAAGGAUCUUGUUCUCAUAUUGUUCUCAUAUUGUAGCUGUGAAAUUCUUACAAGUAGUGUUGCAAUCAGUUCACUUUGAACCAAAAGAGCUCAAAGGAUCUUGUCCUAAAAGUUCCUCAUAAAGCUUAUGGGUUUGCUGGUGGAACUGGAAGGGCUUGAUGCAGCAGAUGCCAUUCUGCAAUAGAGAAAAAUUUAGAGAGCAGUAAUAGUUAAAAUUGGAUGCAGCAGAUACACAUGAAACUAGUAUUUAUACAAGUCUAUACAAUUAAAAUCUAAGGAGACUUAUCAUCGUUUUCAUGUGUUGCGAAUUAAAAUAAUGAAGGAUACACUGUUAGGUGAAAAUUCAAGAAACAAAAUUUUGCAUAGAGAUAAAGGUCCAACAUUAUUACAAGUUAAGGUAGUUUUAAAUAUCCUUGUAAUCUUCCUUUGGUUUCCUCAACGAUUCGAAGACAAUAACCUUGCUUCUAUCAAUGAUAAUUAUAAGGAGAAUCCAGUGGAAACUGUGUAUUCAUAUUAGAACUACCUAAGGUUAAUUAGGUUAGGAAAGGAAAUCGAAAAUAGAUGGUACCCACACUUACUUAAAGUUGUCGGGCAAUAGUAUGUAAUGCUUGUAAUUCCGUUGCUCCAAGAAUUUGUAUAUGUGGUCCAAUGUAGACUUUGGUUGAUCCCGUAUCUGCUGUUGGUUAAAUAAGUGUUUCUAGCCAUUUCUAGCCAUUAGAACUGGGACUAAAGGGGGCUCUUUAGUACGGGUUGAUAUUACUAACCGGGAUUAAAGAGCCCCCAUUAGAGUUGGUUUUUGGAUGCGGAACUAACAACUCCUUUAGUCCUGAGUACGAAAACGACUGAGAUAUUUGUUGCUUGGUUGAAGGUCCUUUCUCUACCGUGAAUAUUGCCAGAAAGAAUUGAAAGAGACUGCUUGCUAAAAAUAUGUCAUAGAUGUAGACCAAGCUACCAAGGAGGUAGCACUAGUAGAGAAUUGACUUUCGAGCCGCCCCCUUUUAUCCCGGUUUAAAGUUGGCCCAGGACAAAAGGGGGUGCGCCGGGGUGCGGAAAUUUGGAGGGGAGCAUUACUCCCGGUUGGUAAUUGCAACCGGGACUAAAGGCCCCCCUUUAGUCCCGGUUGCAACGGCUAGCUGGGGGGCAUCGGUGGCCGGACCCUUUUAUCCCGGUUGGAUCCUCCAACCGGGAUAAAAGGGACUCCCUUUUAUCCCGUUGGAGGAACCAACUGCGAUAAAAAGUUUAGUCCCGGUUGGUGCCUCCAACCGGGAUAAAAGGGUGUCCCUUUUAUCCCGGUUGGAGGAUCCAACCGGGACUAAACUUCCAACCGGGACAAAAGGUGUUUCCUUUUGUCUCGGUUGGAGUUUUUAACCGGGAUAAAAACUCAUCCCCCACUAUGUCCCGAGACAUAGACUUUCUUCUUCCUCCAGCCCGAGCCAGUCCAGCACAUUGAUAGAGAGCUGAGCUUCACCUACUCUCCGGUGGUGCCAAAGCAAGGGAGGUGCUGCCCGAAGUUUUUUCCCUCAUUUUCGUGGGAAUUUGACUCAGCCAACACAAGUGUUGCGAAGGUUUGCUACUUCAUCCUCGUGUUAUGCUUUGAUUUAUGCUUUGGAGAUGGAAAGAUUAUUUGCUACAAUGUGAUGAUGAAGUAGAAAAAUGGAGAGGUAUUUUGAGCUAGAAUGUGAGGGAGAUUGAUGUGUCAUAUAUAGUAUGCAUUAUUUCAGUGGUUUAAAAAUGAUGCUACCUUGUCUAGACGGUUUAUCUUAUCAAAUUCAAUAUGGUUUUUUAAAUCCAUAUACUUGUUGAACUUGCAUACCGUGUUCAUUUCGGCGAGAAUGUUCUCCGCCGAGCAGCAACGUAUGUCAAGAAGGAGGUUCGAUUCUACGAGAAAGAGUGGAUACGGACAUCGUGACCAUGUCCCCUUUUCCGUAGCAUCUAACCUCUUUCAUGACGAAGUGCGGUGCCACCCAGCUGAGGACAUCCUCGCGAAAUGAACACGGUCUUCAAGUUCAACAACUUCUGUAGUGGUAAGGAAAGAAUUUUUGUACAUAGAUGACUUCUGCUACUUGUUGAACUUGCAUACCGUGUUCAUCUCUCCGAGGAUGUUUUCCGCCGAGCAGCAACGUAUGUCAAGAAGGAGGUUUGAUUCUACGAGAAAGAGUGGAUACGGACAUCGUGACCGUGUCCCUUUUUCCGUAGCAUCUAACCUCUUUCAUGACGAAUACCGGUCCCGCCUAGUUGAGGACAUCCUCGCGAGAUGAUCACGGUCUUGAAGUUGAACAACUUAUGCAGUGUUAAGAUGAUCACGAUCUUUAAUCGAUUUUCACGCGUAAUCCAUUAUCAAGUGUAAUCCAUUUUCAUGCGUAAUACGAUGCAGAUGGACUAGCAAUGGAUGUAUAAUGCAGACAGGCGGAGCAAGGCGUUUAUUGAUGGCUUGCAUUAUUUUCUCGAAGUGGCAAAAGCGAACAAGCCAGAGAAUGGGUUCGUAUGUUGUCCAUGCUUCCAAUGCAAUAACAGGAAGGAGUAUUCAAACGAUUCCUGGGGGACUAUUCACAGCCACUUGUUUAAAUACGGUUUCAUGCCUAACUAUUUGGUUUGGACCAAGCACGGUAAACUAGGGGUUGUAAUGGAAGAUGGCGAGGAGGAGGAGGAAGAUGACACCAUUCCGGACUGGGUUGCAGGCCAAGCUUUUGCAGGUACUACAAUGGGCGAGGCUGAUGAAGAUGAGUUUGCAGAAAAUGACCCUACUGAUGACCUUGGUCAGGUGAUACAAGAUGCAUACAGAGAUUGCGAAACUGAGAAGGAAGCAGCAAAGUUGCAGCGCAUGAUAGAUGAUCACCAAAAAUUGUUGUACCGAGGUUGCCAGCAGGACCAUAAAAAACUAGGUACGACACUAGAAUUUGUGCAAUGGAAGGCAAAAAAUGGUGUGUCCGAUAAGGCAUUUCAGGGGAUGUUGAACAUUGUCAAGAAGAUUCUCCCCGAGAAUAAUGAAUUACCGUCCACAACAUAUGAAGCUAAACAGAUUAUUUGUCCUCUUGGAUUGGAUGUUCAGAAGAUACACGCAUGCCCUAAUGACUGUAUCCUCUAUCGUGGUGAUGAAUACGAGAAAUUGGAUGCUUGUCCCGUCUGCGAAGCCCUGCGGUAUAAGAUCAGGCGAGAUGAUCCUGGUGAUGUCGAGGGGCAGUCUCCCAAGAAGAGAGUUCCCGCGAAGGUGAUGUGGUAUUUCCCUAUAAUACCACGCUUGAAGCGCUUGUUCAGGAACAAGGCGAAUGCUAAGUUGAUGCGAUGGCACAAAGAAGACCGUAAGGAAGAUGAGAUGCUGAGACACCCCGCAGAUGGGGCACAGUGGAGAUCAAUUGAUAGAAAAUUCCCAGACUUUGAAAGUGAAGCAAGGAACAUAAGGUUUGGUUUAAGCACUGAUGGAUUCAAUUCAUUGGGUGAGUUGAGUAGUGGUCAUAGUACUUGGCCUGUGACCCUUUGUAUGUUCAACCUUCCUCCUUGGCUGUGCAUGAAGCGGAAGUUCAUUAUGAUGCCGGCGCUAAUCCAAGGCCCAAAACAACCCGGCAACGACAUUGACGUGUACCUAAGGCCGUUGGUUGAUAACCUUUUACAGCUCUGGAAGGAAGAAGGUGUACGUGUGUGGGAUGAGGAUAGACAAGAGAUCUUUAAUCUACGAGCACUGUUGUUCGUAACCAUCAACGAUUGGCCUGCAUUGAGUAACCUUUCAGGACAGACAAAUAAGGGAUAUCGGGCAUGCACCCACUGUUUAGACGACACAGACAGCAUGUACUUGAAGCACUGUAAGAAGGUCGUCUAUAUGGGUCAUCGUCGAUUUCUCCCUGCUCACCACCAGCUGAGAAAGAGCGGGAUGCAUUUCAAAGGGGCGCCAGACCAUCGUAAAAAACCUGCACACCGUAAUGGAAAGCGUGUGUUUGAGAUGAUGAAGGAUGUAUAUGUAGUCUUCGGAAAGGGACUUGGUAGCCAACCUGUUCCGAACGACGAUAACGGACAUGCACCCAUGUGGAAGAAAAAGUCAAUAUUUUGGGAGCUACCUUAUUGGGAAAUCCUAGAGGUUCGCAACGCAAUAGACGUGAUGCACCUGACGAAGAAUCUUUGCGUGAACGUGCUAGGCUUCAUGGGUGUUUAUGGAACCUCAAAAGAUACAUUGGAAGCACGACAGGACCUGAAAGCCAUGGGGCAACGAGAUGACCUACAUCCGGAAAAGAGAGAUAAUGGACAGCACUACUUACGUCCUGCCAGUUACACUCUCAGCAAGGAAGAGAAGGAUAGCAUGUUUGAAUGCUUGAAUAGUAUGAAGGUCCCGUCUGGGUACUCCUCGAAUAUAAAGGGAAUAAUAAAUAUGAAACAAAAGAAGUUUACAAAUCUCAAGGCUCAUGACUGCCACAUGUUGAUGACCCAGUUGCUUCCGGUUGCACUGAGGGGUGUUCUACCAGAAAAUGUCCGGUUGCCGCUCGUAAAGCUAUGCGCGUUUCUCAAUGCGAUUUCGCAGAAGGCAAUCGAUCCAUCCAAGCUAUCAAAGCUACAGAACGAUGUGGUGCAAUGUCUUGUCAGUUUUGAGUUGUUAUUUCCACCAUCCUUCUUCAAUAUUAUGACGCACUUACUGGUUCACCUAGUAAAAGAGAUUGGUAUUCUCGGACCUGUAUACCUGCACAAUAUGUGGCCUUUCGAGAGGUGCAUGGCAGUCCUAAAAAACUAUGUUCUUAAUCGUGCCCGUCCAGAAGGAAGCAUCGCCAGGGGAUAUGGAACAGAGGAGGUGAUCGAGUUUUGUGUUGAUUUUAUUGAUUCAAUUGACUCGAUUGGGGUUCCAACUUCACGCCACGAGGGGAGGCUCCGAGGAAUGGGCACCAUUGGAAGGAAAUCAAGUUUGAGCAAUGAUACUGAUUUGUUCGACAAGGCACACUACACUGUUCUACAACAGUCAUCCUUUGUGUCUCCGUAUAUCGAGCAGCACAGGCAGAUGGUAGCUUCCAAAAACCCGACCAAAUCCGAUGCUUGGCUUACCCGUCAUCACAUGGAAACUUUUCCCUCCUGGUUGCGCCAACAACUUAUGGGUAACUCUGAGAUUCACCCACAGCUUGCCUGGUUAGCCAGGGGACCUACUACCACAAUCGUCGAAUUCCAAGGCUAUGAGAUAAAUGGUUACACAUUUUACACGAGAGCCAAGGACCAGAAAAGCACGAACCAGAAUAGUGGUGUCCGCAUAGAUGCCAUGGACAGAAAUAAUAGCAAGGAGUCGUAUUAUGGUUUCAUACAGGAGAUAUGGGAACUCGAAUACGGACCGCUGUACAUCCCUCUAUUUCUUUGCAAUUGGGUGAAGCUAACUGCCGUCACCAAAGAUCAGUACGGAAUGACAAUAGUAGAUCUGAGCAAGACUGGAUACAGUGAUGACCCAUUCGUACUUGCCAAUGAUGUGCAUCAGGUGUUCUAUGUGAAGGACAUGUGCAGCAAACCCAAGAGGAAUCCAGAAGAGACAUGGGAGCCAAAGUGCCACAUAGUUCUUCCAGGUAAAAGAAAAAUCGUGGGAGUCGAGGAUAAAACAGACCAAUCAGAUGAUUAUGAUCAGUUUGAUGGCAUGCCUCCAUUCGCCGUUGAAGUUGAUCCAAGCAUCCUGCUAUCCAAAGAAGAGGCUCCGUACUUACGCCGCGAUCAUGAUCAAGGAACUUUCGUGAAGAAGAAAUUUUACAACGUUGUAUUGUAAUGCGUUAAAUGUACAUGACCUUUGUGUAUUAAUUGAUACAAUUUGUAAUGUACCCUAUGUAUGAUUUCAUGUGUUAUUAAAUUUGUUAGGUGAAGAUUUUUUAGAUAAACAUGAACAUUGUUAACCACAUACUAACAUGGAUUUUUCUGCUGUUGACGUCGGAUUUCGUCAUCAGUAGAAUCGGCGCCAAAGAGGAAAGAAAUCGAAGGAGGACGGAUGGAAAUCGGCCAAAAGGUGUUACAGUGCGGAAUCGGUCAAGUGGCUUUUACUUCGCUUCAGAGUGAAUACGCCGGGUUCCCAAUCGGCAAUCCUUUGCUGAUAAGAAAUCGGCCGAUCAGGAAGGUGGACUAAGGUGGGCCUGUAUGGGCUUGGAAAGAUGGAAGGAUAAGGUGGAGUUCAGCCCAUGAAGCGUGGGGUAAUUAGUUUAGCUCGGAUUGUGCUUGUAGAUAUUUGUUUUCUGUUUAAAUUAGAGAUAGAGUCCUAGUCGGUUAAGAAGAUUAUUUGUACGGGGCUAUAAAUAGCUACCUUUGUAAAUCUGUAAAAAAAAAACAAUCAAUCAAUACAACAAGUUACUUUAUUCUUCGUACUUACUUUCGAGCAGGCGACUUCGCCAUCACUUUUCCUUCUCACGAGUUCGUGCGGGUUGGCAGGGCUGCAUCAUCUUGAUCUCCGGCCGAUUCUGUAAGUUCCGUUUAUCGAGUAAUAUCUAAGCUUUAACUUCCGGCGCAUCGCUGUUGUUUCGUUUAGAUUUUAUUCAUCAGUUAUCGAUAUCGACUAGAUUCAUAGGUUUUUACCUGUUCUCCUAGUUUUUAUCACCAGUUACCCCGCUAGGAAUCGGUAGUAUCGGCUUUCAUUACUUUCUGUUACCAAAUCCAUCUGUUGCCGAUUAGAUCUUUUCCUGGUGCUGUUACUACGUGCCUUGUACCGAUUACUUUAAUAUUUUUCUAUCUACAAGGCUACGGGGGUCGUGCUGUCUUGUAGCCGAUUUCUUUACCACAGUAAAUCGGCCGAUCUGCCGAUAAGCUCUCUCGAUCGGAAACUUAGCCGAUCGUAGUUACUGAUUUUGACACGUGUUCUUCCUUGCCAAUCAACAGGUCAGAUUGGCUGGCACGCCGCGCGAACCGCACCAGGGCAUUCACCCGAACAGGAGCUAAGCAGAUUCUCCCGGGUCGUGUGUCGGCCGCUGGGAUUCGGUUGACCGAUUUCUAGCGCCAACACACUUUUGGCACGCCCGGUGGGACCAUUACAACCGCUGUCUUGUCGAAAGCUGCUGAAGUCUCCGAAGAUAACGUCAUCGAAGUGACGGAGGCAGAUCUAAAGGACGACCAAAAAGAAGAUCUAAAUCAGUAUUUGGAGCAAGUCCGGAAAACUUGCUUGAAAUCCUUCAGUCGUUCCAGGAGCGGGGAAACUGUUAAAAAGUCUCCUUUCCCUACUCCCCGCCAGAUCACGAUUUCAGAAGAUUCGGACAAAAUGUCCGAUAUGAUUCAGCAAUCUCUUCAUCACGCCUUCAUCAACCAAUCCCCGGUACUUUCAAACAUGGUGCACAAUGCUGUUGUCAACUCUUUCGCCGGAGGUAUACCACAGGGGUACAGGGGGCCUACGUAUUUUCAGCCGAUUCCACCAAAUCAGGCUUAUCAGGCUUCACAGCCGAUCCAAUCCUCUGUCGGAGGAUCUGGUGCUUCUACGUCAUCAACUCCUUUGGGAUACGGCUCCACUGCACCACUCCCUCCAGUCAUUCCUUUACCCUGGGGGGCACCCUUAAACACGACCGGUUUGAAUCAAUCGGUCAGCCAAGGAAAUCCUCCGUUCCAGACACCCUCCCAAACGGCCACUCGGCCGAUCAUACCACCAUACCAGCCUAUCGCUCCGGAGGUCAACAAGACGUCAGAGCUCAUGCUAUAUGAUGGAACAAGUGGUUCAUACAAGCAGCCGUCCUUUACUACACCGCCGGCUUAUACUCAGAUACCACCUUUUCAUCAACCUCCUUUUAUUCAACCUCCGAUUUAUCAACAUGUGCCGAUUCCGCCGCCAAUUAUUCCCCAACAACAACCGGAUUGGACGGCGCAAAUCGCGGAGGUAAUGCAAGAACAAUUCGGACUGAAGCCGAAGGUGCAAACUUAUACCUACAGGACACCAUACCCAUCUACGUACGACUUGUUGCCGUUUCCCCAUCGGUACAAAGUCCCGGAUUUCACUAAAUUUUCCGGAAUAUAUGAUACUUCUACCGUGGAACAUGUGAAUAGAUUCAUCAUCCAAUGCGGAGAAGCAGCUACGCAAGAUGCCCUACGGGUACGGUUGUUCUCGUCAUCUUUGUCUGGAUCGGCUUUCCAAUGGUUCACCACUUUGCCACCAAACUCGAUUAUCACAUGGGCCGAUCUAGAGAGGCAGUUCCACAAGUACUUCUAUGCUGGAGUCCACGAAAUGAAGUUGUCUGAUUUAACUAGCCUCCGGCAACGAAGUGAUGAGCCGAUACCCUCGUACAUACAGAGGUUUCGGGAAAUCAGAAACAAAUGCUACUCCUUGGCUCUAACCGAUGCGCAGUUGGCCGAUAUAGCUUUCCAAGGCCUGCUGCCACACAUUAAGGAGAAAUAUGCUUCGCAAGAAUUCGAGAGCCUGAGCCAGAUUGUCCACCGAUUGUCCGGACAAGAGGUGCGUCCAUUCGAUCCAAGAAGGAAUUUCCAGAAGAAAGUGGCGUUCCUGGAAGAAUUAGAGGACGAGGAAGACGCCGACAUCGGACUUGCAGAGUGGAUUAAAGGAAAGAAGCCGAUAUCAUGCCCGUUCGGCAAAAAGGAGCCGGAAGCAUUUGGUUUCGAUACAACUAAAGCUGACAAAAUCUUUGAUCUUCUACUCCAGGAAGGACAAAUUAAACUCUCGCCUUACCACACGAUACCCUCUGCCGAACAAUUGAAGAAGAUGAAGUAUUGCAAGUGGCAUAACGCCACAUCACAUGAUACCAACGCCAUUGAGCAAGGCAGACUCAAAUUUGAAGUGCCGGCAAAACUGGCUAAACCUAUGAAGAUUGAUCAACACCCUUUUCCUACCAACAUGGUGGAUACGGGUAAGAAUCCCCUCCAAACAAAAGUGCUGACGUCCGAAUCGGCAAAAAGGAGCGGCUCUGUCGACCCCAGAAAUCAAGUUACACCCGAAGACAUCAAAGGGAAACGGCGAAUGGAGGACGACGAUGGUGAGUCUGAUAGACCACGUAUUACUUCCCAGUUCCUGCUCCAAAAGUACCAACGCCAACAUGAACGAUCGAGGUCCCGAGAGGAAGCAAUGCGUCGACACGAAGAACACUGGAGAUGCCCAUUCUUCAUCCAUUGUUGGGAAAAUAACCUCAGGCUUCCAUCAGCCGAUACUUGCCCAGAGUGCAACGGUCCCUAUCGAAGCAAUCGGCCGAUUACAAGGUCUCGCUCCAGAGACGGAAGGCCAGAACCGAUCAGCAGGAAUCGGCGCAACCCAGAUGAUCAGCGCCCUUCCAUGCGUGAUCGGCUGGGGGGCAGAAGUGACCGAUAUGAUCGGUCAGAAGAUAGAAGCCAUAAUAGGCAGGGGGGCAGGACCGAUCGACAUGAUCAAUCAAGUAGCAAAGCCAGCGUUCACAGUCGGCUCCAAGACAUGGCCGAUGCUCGGGUAACAGACGAGAACCCGUUAGGACGCGAGCCAGAAUGGGAACGCGCCAGGAAAGAAGGGAGGCCAAUAAACCCCAGAUGGUGUCCCGAUGGUUUGACCAAAUCACAAAAACGAAGAGUCCAACGCCUCCGCCAAUGGGAACAGCAAGAAGAAGAAAGCGCGAUGGACAAGAAGGAAGGGAGGCCUCGGGUAUGGCGCCCCAAAGGAAACGACAAGGGCAACGAUGAAUCGGCGGGUGAUGAAUCGGCAGCCGAAAUCGGUAUGGUUUUCAUAUUGCCGACGGAGUUUAUGACCCCUGCCGAUCAACAGAACGUGUCGGCAAUAGAGGAACAAACAGCACGGUUGGCGUUAGAACCAAUGAUGGCCACGUUCGAAAAGCCCGAAGACGACGAACGACAACAUAUGAAGGCGUUGUUUCUUAAAGGGCAUGUUGACGGUCGCCCCCUCACUAAAUUGAUGGUCGACGGGGGAGCUGCCGUCAACAUCAUGCCGUAUGCCAUACUCCGAAAGCUGGGAAAGAGCGAUGACGACCUAACCAGGACGGACAUGAUGCUCAAGGACUUCGAAGGCAAGGUGUCAAACGCUCGCGGUGCCCUCUGCGUUGACCUCACCAUCGGCAGUAAGACCCUUCCUACCACGUUUUUCGUCAUUAAUGGCAAAGGGUCCUAUAAUAUGCUUCUUGGACGAGACUGGAUACACGCAAACUGCUGCAUACCGUCAACUAUGCAUCAAUGCCUGGUACAAUGGGUCGGCGACAACAUCGAGGUGGUCAAAGCCGACUCCGCGUACAGCAUCGCAGCAGCCGACGCACAGCAAUGGAGCUGCGAAACCGUCAGGUGCAUAUCAGGUAGGGUGUGGGAAACUGAUUUCCUGAAGGUCACCGAUUUUGGCCUACAGCCGAUCCGAGCAGUCGGCUCUGAAGAAGCGCAAUAAAUGGAUCAGUUCGCCCGAGAAGACGGGAAGCUGGGACACGGAUUCACGUCGGCCGAUUCAUUGGAAAUGGUAGAUUUAGGUGACGGGACCAAACCAAGGCCGACUUUUAUUAGUGCAAAUUUAGAUCCAGAGUACAAGUGUAAAUUGACAAAUUUAUUAAGAGAAUUCAAGGAUUGUUUUGCGUGGGAGUAUCACGAGAUGCCCGGAUUAGAUCGAUCUAUUGUUGAACAUCGGCUACCCAUAAAACCAGGGUAUCGGCCGUACCAACAACCCGCACGGCGAUGCAAUCCUAAAAUUUUACCAGACAUAAAAGCCGAAAUAACUCGGCUAAUUGAAGCGAAAUUUAUUCGGCAAUGUCGUUACGCCGAGUGGAUUUCUAAUAUCGUACCGGUGUAUAAGAAAAACGGGAAACUGCGCGUUUGCGUCGAUUUCAGAAAUCUUAAUCAGGCCACACCGAUGGAUGGCUACCCCAUGCCUACGGCCGAUGUACUGAUCGACGCUGCCGCGGGGCACAAAAUUAUUAGCUUCAUGGAUGGGAACGCCGGAUACAAUCAAAUACUUAUGGCCGAAGAGGACAUACCCAAAACGGCUUUCAGAUGUCCAGGCCAUCUUGGUCUAUUCGAGUGGGUGGUGAUGACUUUCGGUUUGAAGAAUGCUGGUGCUACAUAUCAGAGGGCCAUGAACUAUAUUUUCCACAAACUCAUCGGCCUCCUGGUGGAGAUCUACAUCGACGACGUUGUGGUCAAAUCCAAAAGCCACGAGGAACACCUAGCCGAUUUGCGAAGGGUCCUAGAGUGUACCAAGAAACAUGGUCUUAAGAUGAAUCCCAACAAAUGCGCUUUCGGCGUCUCCGCCGGACAGUUCCUAGGAUUCAUGGUGCACGAACGAGGCAUUGAAGUCAAUCAGAAGACCAUAGCGGCCAUCAACAAAGUCGUCGCUCCGCAGAACAAAACUGAACUACAAUCUCUAAUCGGCAAGGUAAACUUCAUCGGAAGGUUUAUAUCUAAUCUAUCUGGACGGAUCCAGACGUUCACACCACUUCUGAAGUUGAAGCCAGACCAAGAAUUUAUUUGGGGAGAAGAACAGCGCAAGGCGUUAGAAGACAUCAAGCGAUACUUAGUCUCGCCCCCAGUCCUGGUUCCCCCCCAAACGGGUAAGCCGUUUAAACUAUAUUUAUCAGCCGAUGAAAAAGCUAUUGGGUCGGCUCUAGUCCAAGAGUUUGAAGGCAAAGAACGGGUGAUUUAUUACGUUAGUAGAAGACUCCUGGAUGCCGAAACAAGAUAUCCUCCAGUAGAGCGUUUGUGUUUGUGUCUUUACUUCUCGUGCACCAAACUCAGACACUAUCUACUGUCGGCAGAAUGUAUAGUCGUAUGCAAAGAUGAUGUAGUGAAAUACAUGCUGUCACUGCCGAUAUUGAAAGGGCGAAUCGGUAAAUGGAUUUUAGCUUUAUCAGAAUUUGACCUACGGUACGAAUCGGCAAAAGCCAUCAAAGGUCAAGUCAUGGCCGAUUUCGUCGCACAGCACUGUGGGCCGGAGAUCGCCUUCGUGGAACUAGCGCCUUGGCAGUUAUUUUUUGAUGGGUCAUCAUGCGGAGUCGGAUCGGGAAUCAGCAUCGUUCUCAUAUCGCCUCGGGGGGCAAGAUACGAUUUUUCUCUGCCGAUAGAAACCGCCACCACAAACAAUCAAGCGUAAUACAGAGCUGUAUUAAAAGGCUUACGAUUAUUGAGAGAAGUCAAGGCCGAUUCUGUCGAGGUCUUCGGAGAUUCGAUGUUAAUCGUGGAUCAACUAACCGGGAAGGCUGAGUGCAAAGAUGACAUAUUACGAAUUCAUCACGAAGAUUGCCUACAGCUGUUAAAAGAAUUCAGAUCGGCAGUAAUCGAGCAUGUCCCAAGAGACCGCAAUGAGGAAGCGAACAAACUCGCUCAACACGCAUCUGGGUAUCGGCCGAUUCUAGGCGCCAUGGCCUUAGAGCUUGCAGCUGACGAUUGGCGCAAAGAAAUUGCCGAUUACCUAAAGGAUCCGUCUAAAAAGGUGGAGCGGCGAGUACGCUUUCACGCUACCAAAUACGUAUUACUCGAAGAUGAUCUGUUUUACCGAACGAUCGAAGGUGUUCUUCUUAAAUGCCUUGGGACAGAAGAAGCCAAGACUCUAAUGGGAGAAAUCCACGAAGGGGUAUGCGGAGCUCACCAAUCAGCACAUAAGAUGAAGUGGAUGAUCAGAAACAAUGGGUACUAUUGGCCUACGAUCCUUGAAGAUUGUUUCAAAUAUUAUAAGGGUUGUCAGGAGUGUCAAAAGUUUGGAAAUGUCCAGCAUGCACCUGCAUCGGCCAUGAAUCCCAUCAUCAAACCAUGGCCGUUCAGAGGGUGGGGAAUAGACCUUAUCGGCCAAAUUUAUCCACCAUCGAGCAAGGGGCACAAGUUUAUUCUGGUCGCCACCGAUUAUUUCACCAAAUGGGUGGAGGCAAUCCCAUUAAGAACUGUGACUUCGGCUAUCAUGGCCGAUUUUGUAAGGGAUCAUAUCGUCUACCGAUUCGGUAUCCCUCAAACUGUAACAACCGAUCAAGGAACGAUGUUCACAUCGGGGGAAUUUGAGGAGUUUACAACCGAUAUGGGCAUCAAAUUGUUAAAUUCUUCUCUGUAUUACGCUCAGGCCAAUGGUCAAGCAGAAUCUUCCAACAAAGGAAUAAUCAAGUUGAUCAAAAGGAAGAUUGAAGAAUACCCGAAGAAGUGGCACCUGUGUUUAACCGAAGCCCUAUGGGCAUACAGAAUGGCCUGUCAUGGGGCCACCAAGUUAUCUCCUUAUCAGUUGGUAUACGGUCACGAUGCAGUACUUCCAUGGGAAUCGAGGGCAGGAUCAAGGCGCAUUUCACUUCAAGACCAGUUAUCGGCCGACGACUACUCGGCACUUAUGAAAGAAGAACUUGAUGAUGUGGCCGGUCAUCGACUAAGGGCUCUGAUAAGUAUCGAAGAGAAUAAAAAGAGAGUGGCCAGGUGGUACGAUAAAAAGGUCAAAGUCAAGCAGUUCUCCCCCGGAGAUUUGGUAUGGAAGUUAGUACUACCGAUCGGGUCGAAAGAUCCUAAAUUCGGUAAAUGGUCUCCUACCUGGGAAGGGCCGUAUAAAAUCGGCAAAUGCUUAUAUCUUGGAAACAAUAGAAGGAGAAGAAUUCACUAGAGCUCUGAAUGGGAGGUAUUUAAAAAGGUAUUACCCAAGUAUAUGGGUCGGUGCCUAAGGAAUUAAACACGAUCAUACAUGACCGAUACGAUUCGGUCUUGAGACACACAUAAAGUCAACCGGAACGGCCGAUUACAUUCAUUCGGUACGGGCGACGGGUUACAUGGCCGACAAAAUGUUUAGUCGCCCUUAGAACAAAAAUACAGCAACUAAUUAUUCUUUUUCUUACGCUCCCUCUCAGCCCGACCUAACUCUAUCAUGAGUCGGAUGUAUUCUUCUUCUAUGGCCUUCAUUGAAAUCUCCGCUUCGACUUGACCGGGGAGAUCUACGGGAGGGCGCGAAGUCCCCACUCCCGCAUCUUCAAGAACGACUUGCCGAGGGAGUGGAUGACUCCUGUCAAUGGGAGGUCGACGGCUGCCAUUCCUCUCCACGAAGUCCAGGAUCAUUCGGGCCUCCGUGGCGAUGUCGUCUUCAAGAUCGCCACAACGAUCGCCCCUGACAGGUGGAGAUUGCUGGUUACUUUCACUCACCACGGAAUCCAAGACUACGCGAGCCUCCGUGGUAAUGUGAUCCUGGAGCUCUUCUCGGUGAGCCGCGAUCAGCAUCUUGUCCUCCGACGUUAAUGGAUCUUCGGAAUGAAUGCACUCAAUGGCGCGCACGAGCUCGGGGCUAAGACGUUGAGGCUGAAACAAAGAAGGGAUGAGGAGGGAUAUUCUCUUCCUUAGGGUCUAAAAAAGAAAGGAAGGUAGAGGUCAAAAAACUUCACCUGGUUAACAGAGGAAGAAGAAGAUGACGAGGCCAUAGCGAAGAAAUUGCACCGAUGAGAAGGGGCAGAAAGGUUGAACCGAGAGCCAAGAUUGAUGUUACCAGGAGUAAGCGCCGAGCUUGGUAUUUAUAAAAGAAUGCGUGGAAAUCUGGUAAAGCUACGUCCCAUCGGUAAUAAGAAGGCAAUAAAUAGAAAGGGCGUCGCGAGGGGCGGUCAAAGAAGGUAGUAAAUGAUUCGUACAAAACGGUCAGUGUUUUACAGAUUACCCAGAAGGGUAUCGAUGGCCGUGAUGGCCCGACGCCGGAUCUGAUCGGCAGAGUCAAGUACCCGUUGGUCUUCUUCCGCCGAUCCAGGAACCUCCGAUGCGCUGCGAUGGAGUCUCAGUGCCUCGUGAGCAAAGCGUUGCCUCUCCCGUGUUAAAUCGGCAAUAACAGAAGGUAGCUCUUCGAGUUUGUUCUCUUCGGCACUGAUUGCCUUGAUCACUUGCUCCAUUUCCUUGGCAAGCUCCGCCCUACGACGCUUGAGACGGUCUAUUUCUCCUAUGAUCGCCGGACGGGAAUCUUCUAGGACAUGGAUACGCCGAUUCGCCUCUUGAGCCUGACGUUUGAAAGCGUCUUCCUCUUCGCGAGCCUUGGUCAGCUUAGCGCGAUCGGCCAUGUGACGAAGGGCUCUGAAGACCGGGAUCCUCAUAGACUCGAUGAAGGCCGCCGGCGCCAGGGCCUCCUCCGCCUCUUCUGGUACUCGUCCGCUGACGUCAUUGAAGAGCUGCCGAAUCGGCGAGGCGUCUUCUACUAAUCGGCCGAUGUCCCCUUGAAGGAGGGAUCGGAUGCUGGAAAGUUUGGCUCGGACGUCGUCAGGAACGGAACUCAAGGCGACUUGGCGAGAAGCAACUUCUUCGUCGUCAGAGAGGGCGACCGCAAAAGAAAAGAGACUGUUGUCGGGGGUAUCCUGUUCCUGAAGAUAAUAAAGAAAAGAAAUGAACCAGCUGUAAGAAAGAGCAAAUCGGCUAAGAUGGAGGCCGAAACAGAAAAAUACCAUUUUGAAGCGAAUCUCCUCAUGUUGCACUUGAGAAGCCGCCAUGCCUUGCUCGGGGGCCUGCGCCAUGGGUUCAUCAGAUGGAGAGGACUCCACGAUAAUUGGCGCAGUGUUUGGACCAGCCUCCUGACAAGAAAUCGGCGAUCGAGGAGCGAUUGAUGUGCCGAUGGCCUGUGUCAGAAGUUUGAAUAAAUACGGUACGUAAAUGCCCAAAGGAAAUCGGUACGAGAAGUUCUAUACAUUAACGGAAGGAAACGGGGGCACGUCAAUAGCUGGAGGGGCUGCUGCCGAUUGUGGUACUUCUGUAGGGAUGCUCUGUGCAGUUUAAAGAUAAAAGAAAAAUUAAUAUCAAAAAUAAUAAUCGGAGACAGCGCAACUCAGUUUUACCUGUAUGGCCUCCAACAACAACGAUGCGGCGGCCGCCCCAGCUUGCGUCAUGGUUUGAGUAUCGGCACCUUGAAUGACUUGAGGAGGUGGUACGGCCGAAGUGUCUGCCGAUACGCUCACGGGAGGAUCCGCCGAUCCCGUACGAGCCCGGACUCGGCGACUGGUCUUCUUGGUAGUCCUUUUAUGAACUUGUUUCGAUCGGCCAGUAAUCACGUCAACAGACGGGGCGUUAUAGCCGAUAAGGGGAUAAGUAGUGUAUGGAUGACUCUCUAUCAGUCGUCCGCUGCGGCUGUGUGUUGGAGGGAUCCGAUUCUCGGCCUAAAAUAAUAAAAUCAUUAGUACUCGGUCGUGUUAAGGGGAAUAAAAGGGAAUAAAAAUCGGCUAUGUGAAGUACCUCGGCGUUUGGAUCAAUGUUGGUCGGGUCCAGAAGAUUGCAGUAUGCCGAUGCUGAGUUGCAGAAGAGGAAUUGCUUCCAAUCAGCCCACCAUAGUUUGAACGGCUGAACAGCAAAUGGAGCUACUAGCCAGUCGUUCAAGUUAAUUGUACUGGAGUCUGGAAUUCGGUCUCGCAACCGACCGUAAUCUAGGCUAGAUUUGAGAUCAUCUCUAAACUUGAUUUUGCCAGCAAAGUACACCUGAAUCGGCAGCUGACCCAUGCCAAAUUGUCGUGCCGCAGCAGAAGGGUUGUAGAAUUCAUACGUAGGGGCAUCCUUCCCUGAGAAGAAAUUGGCCGGUAGGAUCCCUGGCUUGAUCAACCCUUCAUAGAGAUCUUCAUCAAACCGGCCAGAAGUUGAGUCAAAGCAGGAAGGGAGCUCGAAGAUGGGAAUGUCUCGCUGGUAUGGAAACCAGAUAGUUGCGUCCUCAUUAAAUCCAUCGUAAAAGCACCGAAAGUACUCGGCUACCUUUGUAGCGGAAUACGCACAACCUGGAAAAGCUGAUGCCGCUUCACCAUAAGACAUGCAUCGGCGACGCUCGGUAGGGUCUUCCGCCGAUUCAAUAUUGGGAAACGUCAUGUGGUCCACUGGCUGCCGGGUGAUCCUGUUCAUGUAAAGGUUCAACCAUAGAUUGACGAACCACCAAGGCCCACCUGGGUUGCCGAUUGGUUCUCCCUUGGAAAGUUUUGUGCCGAUUUGGUGGAGCAUGUGGUACACAGCACCCAGAAGAUGUUUCCCGAGAGGAAUGUGGCUUCCUUUGGACAGUGCCUCGGCUAAAGAUUGGGUGUUGGUUGUUGGGCCGGCGGCUCUUCCACAGAAAAGGUGUUUUUCUAGCCACAUCAUCAGGAAAGCGGUGUGCUCCCUAUUAUCAAUAGUACCGGUCUUCUUGUUAUUACUAAUAAAGCCCUUCCAGCUGCCGAUUCCUCUUACGUCCAGCCGAUGCGACGGUACGGUCAGAAGUUGGAAAGGCGUGUCAGGAGAGGAUAUGUCCAGGCCGGUCAAGAGGACCACAUCGGCCAGAGUGGGGGUCAUAGGACCGUGUCCAAAUAAGAAUGCAUUAAGAGCGUCAGACCAAAAAUAGGAAGCCGCCAUCACUAGCGGUUCGUUUUUCUCCAUUUGCGACAGAGAGAGGUUGAUACAUUGGCCGAUUUUGAGUUCAUCCCACAAGACGCUCUUUGACGUGGCCAUCCGUUGGUACCAUUCCCUCCAACCGGGGGUUUCAUUCGGCCAAGAUCUAAAAGUGCUGGCCCAUUGAUCUAAGUUCAUGUCAGAUCGUUUGAAAGGUAUCCGGUCAGUUUCCAAGUUUAUGAGGUCUGCUGGAUCUGGGUCUCCCAUGGGACCAAGGCAAACAAGGCCAGGACUACCCGUGAGAUGGAUAGUGAUUCUAUGUCUAACCGCCUAAAUGAGGAAAAGAGGCAUAAGAAUAUAAGGAAUAGAUCUAAGAUAAAUACGUUACCGAUAGAGGAAAAAUUCGGUGUUUACCUCCGGUAUAAAAUUCUGAGUAAUCGGUGUGGUCGCCGAUGCAGAUGCAGAUGAUGAAGCCGUAAUGGGGAUCGCCAUUGGGAUCUCUGAUGAAGCUCCUUCAUCUAUGGAUGGAGUGACGGUUGUUGCCACCGUUACCGGAGGUGCUACCUCCACCGGGGGCAUUGUCCCUGGAGCAUCGCGUGCUGGGGAAUUACCGGAGGGAGUCGCCAUUGAAGGGGAGGGGAAGAAGUGACAGGAGCUGGAGCUGGAAGGCUUCGAUGGCAAGAUUGAAGAAGGAAGGAAGUGCGCGCGCUGGAAAGAGGGAUGUGAGCUUGAAGAUGAGUUGCGGUGAAAUGAUAUUUAUAGGGUGCCUGAAGAAAGGGUAAAGAUGGAAUUUUCAACGCGCCGGCGCGUCGAGUUUUUCGGGGUAGUGGCUGUCGUGGGCGCCCGUUUCAAAAAAUUGCAAUGAUCAGCCGGGAGACCGCGAAACGGAAGGAUAUUUUCACUGCGGCCGUUUCGGAAGAGAGGUUAUAAAGAAUUUCGAAGUAAAAGGCUAUGUUUUACUCCGAAACUGGGGGGCAUGUGUUGACGCCGGAUUUCGUCAUCAGUAGAAUCGGCGCCAAAGAGGAAAGAAAUCGAAGGAGGACGGAUGGAAAUCGGCCAAAAGGUGCUACAGCGCGGAAUCGGUCAAGUGGCUUUUACUUUGCUUCAGAGUGAAUACGCCGGGUUCCCAAUCGGCAAUCCUUUGCUGAUAAGAAAUCGGCCGAUCAGGAAGGUGGACUAAGGUGGGCCUGUAUGGGCUUGGAAAGAUGGAAGGAUAAGGUGGAGUUCAGCCCAUGAAGCGUGGGGUAAUUAGUUUAGCUCGGAUUGUGCUUGUAGAUAUUUGUUUUCUGUUUAAAUUAGAGAUAGAGUCCUAGUCGGUUAAGAAGAUUAUUUGUACGGGGCUAUAAAUAGCUACCUUUGUAAAUCUGUAAAAAAAAAAAACAAUCAAUCAAUACAACAAGUUACUUUAUUCUUCGUACUUACUUUCGAGCAGGCGACUUCGCCAUCACUUUUCCUUCUCACGAGUUCGUGCGGGUUGGCAGGGCUGCAUCAUCUUGAUCUCCGGCCGAUUCUGUAAGUUCCGUUUAUCGAGUAAUAUCUAAGCUUUAACUUCCGGCGCAUCGCUGUUGUUUCGUUUAGAUUUUAUUCAUCAGUUAUCGAUAUCGACUAGAUUCAUAGGUUUUUACCUGUUCUCCUAGUUUUUAUCACCAGUUACCCCGCUAGGAAUCGGUAGUAUCGGCUUUCAUUACUUUCUGUUACCAAAUCCAUCUGUUGCCGAUUAGAUCUUUUCCUGGUGCUGUUACUACGUGCCUUGUACCGAUUACUUUAAUAUUUUUCUAUCUACAAGGCUACGGGGGUCGUGCUGUCUUGUAGCCGAUUUCUUUACCACAGUAAAUCGGCCGAUCUGCCGAUAAGCUCUCUCGAUCGGAAACUUAGCCGAUCGUAGUUACUGAUUUUGACACGUGUUCUUCCUUGCCAAUCAACAGGUCAGAUUGGCUGGCACGCCGUGCGAACCGCACCAGGGCAUUCACCCGAACAGGAGCUAAGCAGAUUCUCCCGGGUCGUGUGUCGGCCGCUGGGAUUCGGUUGACCGAUUUCUAGCGCCAACAUCUGCGCAUUCAAAUAAUUUAAUUGAAUAAUUUCUUGAUCACAGCAAUGCAGUAAAAUAAAUAUUUUACAGGCUAAAUGAGUUGGUAUAGAAUUAAUGAUUACUUCAUACUUAUUGUCAAUUUACUCGUUAAUUAAAUAUAUUUUUGCAUGUACAAAAUCUGUGAAGGUUUUGUUUUUCAUCCUGAAAUGCAGUGAAAAGGUAAAAUAAAAUCCAUUUCCAAAAAACAGGCGGGAGAAGAAAAAUAGGAAAAAAGACCUUUUGUCUCGGGGCUAACAGCAACCGGGACAAAAGGCCCCCCUUUUAUCCUGGUUGCCAACGGCAACCGGGAUAAAAGGGUACGUUUCGUCUCCCGCCCAAACGUACCCUUUUAUCCCGGUUGCCAACUGCAGCAGGGAUAAAAGGGUACACUCCCAGCCCCACCUGGCGGGGGUACCCUUUUGUCCCGGGUCCCGUCGCCAACCGGGAUAAAAGGGGGGGGGCCUUUUAUCCCGGUUGGUGNNNNNNNNNNNNNNNNNNNNNNNNNNNNNNNNNNNNNNNNNNNNNNNNNNNNNNNNNNNNNNNNNNNNNNNNNNNNNNNNNNNNNNNNNNNNNNNNNNNNGACGAGACGACGACGCGAGACGACGACGGCCGAGGCGAAGACGACGACGGCGGCGUAGGCGGGACGGCGACGAGACGGCGACGAGGGGCGACGAGGAUGGAGCCGGCGACGAGGAUGUGGAGCCGGUGGCCGGAGGCGACGAGGUGGCCGGGGGCCGGGCGCGUCGACGGACGAGGAGGGGAUCGAGGAGGGCCGGCCGGGGGACGACGACGGCGCAAUGGGGGACAUCGACGGCGCAAUGGGGGACGACGACGGCGGCGGCCGGUGAGGGAGGCGGACGGGCGGCGACGGCGGAGAACGCGCGGGACUUGCGAAAUUUUGGCUAAGUGUGUAACUGGCAGGGGGUAGAAGGGAGUACAGUGCCUUUUAACCCCCCCCUUUUAUCCCGGUUCGUAAUAGGACCCGGGACAAAAGGCUCUUUUGUCCCGGGUCCUAUUACGAACCGGGAUAAAAGGGGGGGGUUAAAAGGCACUGUACUCCCUUCUACCCCCUGCCAGUUACACACUUAGCCAAAAUUUCGCAAGUCCCGCGCGUUCUCCGCCGUCGCCGCCCGUCCGCCUCCCUCACCGGCCGCCGCCGUCGUCGUCCCCCAUUGCGCCGUCGAUGUCCCCCAUUGCGCCGUCGUCGUCCCCCGGCCGGCCCUCCUCGAUCCCCUCCUCGUCCGUCGACGCGCCCGGCCCCCGGCCACCUCGUCGCCUCCGGCCACCGGCUCCACAUCCUCGUCGCCGGCUCCAUCCUCGUCGCCCCUCGUCGCCGUCUCGUCGCCGUCCCGCCUACGCCGCCGUCGUCGUCUUCGCCUCGGCCGUCGUCGUCCCGCCGUCGUCGUCUUCGUCCUCGUCGCCGUCCCGCGCGCCGCCCGGCCGCCGCCGUCCCGCCGCCCCGGCCGCCGCCGUCCCGCCACCCCGGCCGCCGCCGUCCCGCCGCCCCGGCCGCCGCCGUCCCGCCGACCCGGCCGCCGCCGACCCGCCGACCCGGCCGCCGCCGUCCCGCCGUCCCGCCGUCCCGGCCGUCGGCCCGCGCGGGAGAGGUCCGCUGCCGCGCCGGCCGGCAGCGCCGGGAGGGUUUUCUUUUUAAGUUAAUUAGAAAAUUAAGUUUUAUUUUUAGAUAGAAUUGUAAUUUUGUUAAGUUAGAUUUUUAGAUUUCUAGUUAGUUUGUUAAGUUAGAUUUCUAGUUAGUUUUUUAAGUUAGAGUUGAUAUAGAGAUCGCCGAGUAGCCGCCGUGAUCGUCGCCUUGUAGCCGCCGUGAUCGCCGCCGAGUAGCCGCCGUGAUCGCCGCCAUCCCGCCGCCCAUCACAACCUAGUAGGCACCGCCCGUGGUUCCGGUGAACCGUCCCCGCCGUACCGCCGCCCUGACCGCCGCCGUCCCGCCUCCGCCGCCCUGAUCGCCGCCGUCCCGCCUCCGCCGCCCUGAUCGCCGCCGUCACAACCUAGGCACCGCACGUGGAUAUUGUUACAAAUUCGUAGAAAUUCGUCAAAAUUCGUAGAAAUUCGUCAAAAUUCGUAGAAAUUCGUAGAAAUUUGUAGAAAUUCAUAGAAAUUCGUAGAAAUUCGUAGAAAUUUGUAGAAAUUCGUAGAAAUUCAUAGAAAUUCGUAGAAAUUCAUAGAAAUUUGUUGAAAUUCGUCAAAAUUCAUAGAAAUAUUUCGGACUUUGUACGAUUCAUGUUAUUUUAUGAUUUCAUUAUAUACAUGUAUGAUUCCAUUCCGGACUUUGUACAAAUUUGUAUUAAGACGAUUUCUAUGACUGUCAUGUAUGAUUCCAUGUAUGUUUCCAUCAAUAGUUGAAAUGGCAGACGAUGAGACCGCAAGGUAUAUCAUGGAGCAGAUAAUCGCUGGUGAUGGUAGUGGCGACAACGUUCCACUAUCAUACACGUAUGAAGAGGGCACCCAGGCGGACAUGUUCCUCAACAUGUCCGCUGAUGGGAAUGAAGAGCAACAGCCGCAACAACAACUUGCCGUGGCGGAAGGUUCCGGCGAGGUAUAUACAACCAUUCUUGUAUUGUUUCACGCCACCGCUACUACUACGUACUAAUUAACGAAUCUUGAACUGUUAGCCCUCCGGAUCGACACAAGGGCAGAAGACCUGAGGUCGUACAAAGGUGAUGGAAGGGAGGCUUGUCAUCACCGAAGUUACAGAAGAGGGCAAGCCGGUUGCUCCCGAGAAAGUAGCAAAGAAGUACGUGAGUCAAAUCGGGGCAAUCGUUCGGGACAACGUGCCUAUCAGCAUCAGAGAAUGGAAGGGCAGAAGAGAUAAUCCGUACGCCCUUCCAGAGAUAGAAAAGAAUAUGCUGUGGGAAGACGUGAAGAGACAUUUCACAUUCCCCGAAGGAUAUAGCGAGAAGGAUGUCAAAGCGUGGACGCUUAAGAAGAUGGCUACUCAAUUCCAGACAUUCAAGAAGAUGCUGGACACCCACUACAUCAAGAAGGGCAAAACUCCAGACUUCAACGCGUGGCCAAAGUUGAGGGACCACUGGGAUGCAUUUGUUGAAUACAAGAGGAGUGAAGAAGGUGUGAAAAAGAUCACGACCAACAUAGCAAAUGCUAGUCAGAAGGGCUACCACCAUCAUUUGGGGUGAGGUGGGUAUGGCUCAGCAAUUCCCAAGUGGAGGAAGAUGGAACAAGAUCUGAUCGAACGGGGAAUCGUACCUGCAACUAUUGAAUGGCCCGAACGAUCAAAGAACUGGUACUACGCUCAUGGAGGCUCCCUAAGCCAAGAGGAUGGGACGCUGAUUUUCAAUGACACAAUACGUGAGAAGGCCGAACAUCUCAUGAAGAACAUUGAAGAUUCCAAGGCUGGGAGGUUGAGGGUGGACCAAGAAAAUGAUGAGCUCACAUUGGCCCUCGGUAAUCCAGAGCACCCAGGACGUUGCCGGGGGUUCGGGGUGGUUCCGUGGAAGUUCGCUUUCCGAGGCGACAGCGCCUCUUACAGAAGCCGGAAGCGAAGAAAGGAACAGAUGGAGGAGAGCUGGUAGCAGAUGGUAGAACAAAGAAUGAUGGAUGAAAUCAAUCGGCGGGUGGCCGACGCAGUUGCGGAGUUGGCGCAAUCUGGAGCAAUGCCGAAUCCUAACACCGCCAGCCCUUCUCAACGCCUCGGGAGCAGUUGUGCUUCUACAGGGGUCCCCGAUGCGCAGACGCCCAGGUUACCCGUGGAGGAGCAAUGGUUCCCCGUGGAUGCCAUCACGCAACGGACCUCAUGUAAGCUGCAUGCACCGGUCGGCAACCUCACUAUUAAGGUAUACUUAUACAUAAUAUUUAUGCAAUCUUGUCAAUUGAUCCAGGCCUCGAGAUCGGAGUUCAACCUGUUUACUUCUACUAUAUGUACAGGUAGCGUACGGGAGUGUGUUACCAACCCUGGCAGGGCAGAGCAGUCAUGGCAUGGACAUUCCAACAGGCUACGCCAGCGUCUGCGUCGAGCAAAUAGUUGAUCCCCAGUAUGAAGGUCUAGAGCUCGACUUCCCGGGAGGCGACGGGGAAAAGACAUUGGCAGAUGCGCUUCAUGGGAUCAUUCUAUGGAAGAAACGCUACAUCAUUAUUCCCCGCACGGAGCCAUCUCCUCAGACCUCAAGACCACUCCCCGUAGAUCCCCAGCAGCGACCUUCUCCUCAUACCUCGAGACCGGCAUCUCCUGCUCCAGGACCGUCUCUUCCAUCUAUAUCAAGGUCUCCAUCUCCACCACAUCCUGGUGCUGGGAGCGACGACGACAAUAACAACACCCCUCCCCGAUCACCGUCACCGGCACCAAGAGCGGCCCCCUCGAAGGAACCUGCAGCACCACUCAAGAAGUCACGAGCACCGCCUCCCAAGCAAAGACAGAGAAAGAAGAAAACAAAGGUCGACCCUGAAGUGGCUCGCAAGGAACGCUUUGAGGCAAUGUCUCAUGAAGAACAGUGGGCAGAAAUCCAACGAGAGGCCAGUGAGUGGUUCAAGAAACAAGCCGAAUUAAAAAAGGCAAGGGAGAUGGAGCCACCGUCAGUAAGUCGGCGAGAUUUAAACUUUUUUAUCAGGAUGGAGGAAGAAGCCAAGAAAAGGAUACCACUCUUGUCAAACUAUGAACGGGCUCUAGUAAAGGCUGAUGAAAAGGAUAAAAGGAAAGGAAAAUCAUCCUCCAGCAGUCCAGUCCCCGACCUCAGCCAUUUAUCAAAAAAAGAUGCUCAACGGGUAAAAGCAAUGCCCUUGGAUCAACAAGCAAAUAUAUUGAAGUUCAUGGAAGAAACAGGUCUGGGACUUGAUGAAUGCAUAGGGCAAGUCGAGACGCCAACUGCACCGCCCCCUGAGCCGAAGUGGACUUAUGAGCUAGGCAAACCUCUAGUAAAGCCUUCAAUGGUACGGAAGCUAUCAACAAAGAUGUACGAAUUCCAUCAAUGGUCGGCAUGAAGGUAAAACCGAUAGAUUUUCACGGUGAAGGGGAGAAAGUGCUGUGGCUAGACUUCAAGGAUAUAUACGAAGUGUACCAUCAUGAUGCCCUGGACGUCUCUCUGAUCAGCGCUUGGAUUCUGUAAGUGUCCGUUUAUUAUCUCUACAUGUAAAUUUUGGCGUGCGUCACCGUACUAACUUCAUCUUCCAUUUCAUGUAGGAUGCUAAUUCAGACAUGCCGCCGAGAGGCGUACCUACAUGUAGGCUUCAUGGAUCCAUCUGUAGUUAACCAACAACAGAUACAAUUAGCGCCGGAAAAAACCUUUGCGGAAAUAUACAAUUUCCUACACAAACAAACAUUCAAGGAUUUCAUACUACUUCCAUACAACUUCAAGUAAGUGUGUGUAUACCGUCUACUUUCGAUGUCUUUUUCCUUAUCUCUACAUGUUAGUUAGCUCUAAUAUGCAUGAACAUUUUACGCACGCAGCUUCCACUGGAUCCUUAUUAUAAUUGAGCCUGAAAGAAGCCACGUCACUGUCUUAGAUUCGUUAAGGAAAGAUCCGAUGGACUACCAAGAAUUGCAAGACAUGCUAGGCUUGUAAUAAUUCUGGACCUUUAUCUCUAUGCAAAAAUUUAUUUCCUAAAUUUUAUCCCUGUUACACUAUGUCAUUCAUUAUUCUAAUCCGCAGCGCAUGGAAACAAUUCAUAAGGACACACAAAGGUCCAUUCAAAGAAAAUCUUACAUGGAACACAGACUUCCCGGUACGUAUGCAGUCUGCACAUUUAUUACAUUGUAUAACACAAAUAUUUCAUAACUUAUUUUUUUCCGCACUGAAGUGCUUAAGACAGGAACCCGGGAAUAAUCUAUGUGGCUACUACAUCUGUGAGCACAUGCACAGUUUUUUGGGACCCAAGGGACCGAAGAUGACGCCGCACAACUUUAAAGUACGUAAAAUAACUAUAUUACUAGUUAAUUAUUUUCUAGCUCCUUAUAUGUAUUUGUUCAUGUAACAUUCACAAAUUUCCAAAUUAUAGAUGUUAAAUAUUCAACAAGGACUCUUGAAGGAAGAAAGAGUAGCGGCAAUAUGUGAAGGUCUCAUUGGAUUCAUAAUGGACGAGGUGGUGGACGAGGUGGUAAAUCCAAGAGGAGAAUUUUAUUACGAUGGACGACAAUUAGACACUCCGAUCAGCAACACCACGAUGGAUACUUUGAUUUAUUUGUAUAUAUAAUACGCGCUAAUUAUGAUCGAUUUGUACUAAGCUAGUUGAAUUGUGUAUAUGAAUUGUGUAUAAGGAUUGUGUAUAUAUAUAGUAAUUGUAUAAUUACAAAUCCCAUUCGUUUAAAUACUAGUUGAUUUCGUUCUAAAAAAAUCUCAACUACAAGGUUAACAAAUUAAAAGGGCUGCGGUACUACUAUACGUAUACGUGAUGCAUGCAUGAAAAAUUCAGACGUCACGGCUGUGCCAUGCAAGCGCCAUUUAGUCCCGGUUGGAAUCGAGCCGGGACUAAAGGGGACCCCUUUAGUCCCGGUUGGGAAAUCCAACCAGGACUAAAGGGGGACCUUUACUCCCGGUUAAAAGACCCGGGAGUAAAGACCCCCCCCUUUUGUCCCGGUUGGUUUAUCCCGGAUGGAUAUCCGAGAGAUAUGCACCCUACCAACCGGGACUAAAGGCCAAUUCUCUACCAGUGUAGACCAAACAUGAUACACACCAUGCGUACCUUGCUGUGCAGACUAUGCAUUGACAAGAUACCCGACCACAUGUUGGCCUCGGUCACAUCAAAAGAAUCAUGUAGGCCACCAAUAAACUACUUGAAGCGGCAUUCCGUAUCGUAUAUGCAUUGCCGGUUCAUCUGCAUUACAUUACAUAAAGCACUAUUAACUAUUUGAAUAAAAUGAACCAAUUUAAAAGUAAUGUGUUGUACUCUACUAUAGAAAGCCCUAUCACUGCCGGAUCCAAAAACAUCAUUGUUAAUGGUGGUUAAGUACCAAAUAUGAUGGUCAAUAUUCUCAAGAAUAAUGGAGAAUUAGCAUUUCUUAGACACAUAUUUGGUUUUGAACAAUGUAGUUCCACAUGUCUUUGGAGAUUAUUUGGGUGUGGGUGAAAUAAUACAAAAAUAAGGAGAAAACACACUCCCAUGGCAAAGAAACACAACUCCAACCAAUGAGAGAUAGCCACAGGGGCAGCACACGGAUCCAUGGGCCCACAAACCGCAUCAAACCGUCUUACCAAGGCAGGUAGCACCCACAACCGUCAUUAGGACCCACCUGGAAGUCUACCAAGAAGAAGGUUGCGAGUGGGGCCAGGAGGGGUUCGGUUGAAUCAUCUCUAGCUAGCUCCCCUCAUCCCCAGCUGGUGGGUGGUGGUGGUUGAUGGUGUCCCUACAUCGGUUAGAGGAGAUUCCCCCAAAUAUUCCUCCUGUAAACCACCUCUAUGGACCUAUACAUAGAGGGGUGUGCUCUCCAUUCCAACACACACCACAAGUUGAAUCACUGUCUCCCUCUUUAGUUUCCAAGUUUAUGGAGUUAGGCUAGAGUAGCUCUGCUCAAGGUUCCAAGUCCACUUGGAGUUAAGCAUAUGUCUCUUGUAUCGUUAUUUCCUAAAUUGACUUUAUGCUUAGUUCUUAUAUGCAUGAGUUAGUCUAAUACCCUUGCUCUAUUGAUAUGCUCGACUUAUAUGCUCGUAUGCUAGUCAUAUACCCUUGCUGUCGUAGUAUAGGCUUAUAUGCUCUCAUGUGUGCCUGUAGACCUUGCUAUAGUAUAUACUUGUUGUGUAUACAUACCAUGUAUAGGCUAGUCGAUCUAUACCAUGGCAUUGGUUCAAUAGCCAUGUUUUUGGUGGCUCCAGCCCUAGUCACAAUAGCUCGGGACAGCUGGAGUGUUGUUAAAAAUGCAAGAGUGGUGCUUGGGUUGUUUAGCAUCGUUGGAUAUGGGUUUGCCCCACAGGUUUCUAACGGUAGGCGACAGCUAGUGACAUCCCUGUCCGUCCUUCGUAAUCCCCCCACAUUCAGGUACGCCAUAAAUGUUCGUAAAUUAGCAGUAACUACGCCGGUACACCCAUAGGGUAUUGUCUCCCUGUAGUACCUUGGUGCAUAGAACUAAGUCCUAUACACUGUGUGUGUAUGUUUACGCUGAUAUGAUCUGUGCAGUAUAUAGGAUGUAUAUAUGAACCUAGAGCUAACUCCUAGUCCGUUCUCCAUAGCUUAGUUAUCUUGAGAUGAUUCUUUUGUAUGUGUAACACUACCCAUCUUAUCAUUAUCCUUGCUCCUGUCUUGUGUAAUAUAUCUACUCAUCCUAUGAUAUACUCAUAUGCAUAGUAAACUAUUUUGACCUACCCGCCUUCCUUUGGGAAAUAUGAUACCCUGGAAUAAUCCUAGGUGAAAUCCUACAACGGUAUAUCCAUGUGCUUGCGGAUUUAUUCAUGACCAUUAAAUAUACCAACAAUCAUCACUGCCGGUUAUGGGCGUCGUUAGUGAAGGGUUGGUAGUGAUGGGCAUCCCCUUCACCAAUGGACCUGGAACCGGCGGUGAUGGCUGUUAUAAAAAAGGGGACACCACCCAGCGUACCCCGCGACCCGGCUGGCCGCACCUCCCAUCAUCCCCGCCAGCCGCCCUUCCUUUUCGCCGGCCGAGCAUGGUCCUGGCCUUUGUCCCUACCGCCUCGCCUCCACCGCGACCCCCCGCCGAUGCCCUCAUGCCUGGCCCCCCUCAUCUUGCCGGCCACCCUCCCGAUGCGUCCACUAGGGCCCUCACACCACCAACCGCCCUUGCCUAGAGAGGGAGAGAGAGGAGGGAGGUGAGGCCACGCACCUCGUCCUACACCGCCGCUGUUUCUCCUCGGCCCACCGCGCCUCACCCCACACCACAGCCGCGCCUUGCCAUCUUACCGGCUGCGACGCCUCAUCUCACCGGCCACCGUUCCUCACCCCCACUUCGGUCGUCGCCGCUCCUUGCCCUACUGCUGCUCUUUGCCGCUGCGACUGAGCGGCGAGUGGAGGAGGAGGGACGGGGCAGGAGGAGGGCAAGAUCCGGGAGGAAGGGAGAGAUCUUGGGAGGUGGAGAUGGAAGGAUAUGGCGGAAGGGAGAGAUCCAGAGGGAGAGAGCAGGGGAGAGAGGGGGGCAUGUGGGGAGAGAGUGCGUGUGGGGUGGGGCCAGGCUGGUGGGAUGGAAGGGAGAGGGGCUAGACGGGCGCAGUGCAUUCAACUGGAUGAAGUAAAUAUUUCGGAUUCGAGACCCCAGCUUUAUUAUCACCGCUGGUCCGUAGUACCAUCCGGUGCCUGCUCGUAAUUUAAUUUGAAUCUGCGGUGAUGUUUUAUUAUCACCAUCGGAUCAUAUAAAAAAUCCGGCGGUUAAAAAUCCGCUGGUUUCGAUGAAAACCGACGGUGAUAGGAUGACUGUGAUAGUCUCUUCUCUAGUAGUGGUAUAUUAGUACCGGCUGCCAGACGGUGUUGCCGACCAGUACUUCUCCGGAGGCGAUUCAGUACUGCUGUUAGCAAAGCUUGUUCUCUAUGAAUCUGGGGAUGGAAAGCUAGUUCUCUAGUUGUGAUUUGUUACAUAUAUAUCUAUGAUAGUCUAGAAAUUGCAUGUCCUUCGUUGACAUAGUUGAAGCUGCGCGCUUCAAGAAUUUACUUCGUGCAGUCGUGCAGCAUAUUGGAUUAUCACCUAGACAGGAUACAUAGGUGAAGCAUUGGAUGUGAUUGUGGCCGAUAAUUAUGCAGGACGCUGUUGCAAUCAACCACCAAGAAGUCUGGAGUGAUGGGGUUGCCUCAUCAAUAAUUUUUAUAUAUGGCUGCAGUAUUAUUAAGCCCACGUCAAUAAUUUUUUCUCCGCACCAUAUAUCGAUGGGGUUGCCUCAUCAAUAAUUCGCGCAACCAGACAAGCUGCAGACUCAAUAUGGUACGAAGCUAGUUGCUCAGCCCACAUGCUCUGAUAUAACAUUGACAUCUGCUGAUCUACAGUAUAUAUGACCAGAAAUAUUGUGCCCACCUCAAUAACUUUCUGAAGUAUCGUGGGGAAGAACCUACUCGUACUAUGCCUCGGAACUAACUGACAUAUCGGCCUAGGCGGUCUAGGCCGAUUGGACUGGCUCUUCCUUGUGGCUUCUCACGUCCCCUUCGUCCCCAAGUAAUUUCAGGUGUUCUGCAGUUUCCUUUUCACUUGCAUCUGAGCCUCAUAUAUCAAUAGCUUCGGGAUAAGAAUGCCUCUUGAUAACCUUCCAAAUCCUCGCUUGAUUCACAUUGAUUCCGAAAUCAUCUUGCCAUAUCUUCAGAGACUUAGGUCCUAAGGCAUCAUGGAGGAUUGCUCGCCAGGAAUGAGCACCAUUGGGCUCCUGAGGACCCUAGGCCGAUCAGCCCGGGCUCUAUAGGUCGAUUGGCCCAGGCCCUCUCUGGGCCCGUUGGCCUUCAUCUUUCUCUGAGUCGACGCUUAUUCAGGGCUUUGUCCAAUUAUAGUCUAUUAUAGUCUAAUUUCCUACAAAAACAGAAUGUCCUCCAAAAUACAAUGCAUAUGUGAAAACAGCCCAAUUAUUAGGUAUGAUCAAUAGUUUAGGUAUAUAAAUUAAUAUUAUUAUUUAAGAUAAACAGGGGUAAAGGGUGUCAUUAAUAACAAGCGCCAACAAGCGUCCUGGCUGUUCAAUAAAUUUUUUCUAGUACCGAUUGGUAACACUAACCGGUGCUAAUAUGUACCCUUUAGUACCGGUUAUUUUACCAGGUACUAAAGGAGACAAGAGCAUCCUAACAUAAGGUUAAUAUCAUCCAUUUCAUGAGUAAAAUACUAUGAUUCAAAAAUAAUUCAAAUCCCUUAAGACAAUACCUAUCAAAUGAGUAAAUUGUAAAUAGAGUAAUCUUGAUCAAACAAUGUCCUAAUGAAACGGAACACUUCUGGUUCGUGUAGAGCACAAUAUAGAAAACAGUAGGGUAGCUGUACGAUUGACACGUGGUCCAUUAAUUCUUGAGCCAACACUAUGGACAUGUCUUCAUGAGUAGUGUACUAGUCAUGAUACAUGGUAUGCAGUAGGUGGAGGUAUUGACUUAGCCAUGCUAUGAGCACUUAGUUACAACAAACACUUUGCCAUUAUCGAGCAUCCCAAAUCACUACAAAAUCCAUAGUUUACCAUAUACUACAAAAUCUGAGUUAAAAUAAGAGCAUACACGGAAGAGUCCGAAUGCACCGGCACAUUGAAUUACUAGACAAAAAUUAUGGGACAAGGUUUUGGGUAACCGCAUGAAAAAUAUUGGAUUUUACUGAACACUUAGUUACAAUUACCAUGCCGUGAGCACUUAGUCACCACAAACAUUUAACCACUUUAGAUCAUCCUGAAUCCCUAUAAAUUCUAUACCUUACACCGUACCAUGAAAACGACAAGAACAGAGACAGAUGCGGUGAAAAUCUCCAGAGCAAGCCUGAAAUUAAAAUAAGAGGAGGCAGUCACUAUCGACAGGACACGGAGAUUGCUAGCCAUGACAGAGGAAGACAUGAUAUGAUAUUCACCUCUGAAAUGCAGCGUAGACUAAAUGAAGCACAAUUGCAAGUGAGUGUGGCAGAUAAUGGACCAUCGAGACCAUCGAUUGGUAUGAAGCAUGAUUAUCACCUAGACAUGAUAUCCUAGACAGGACGGUGAAUUGUAAAAAGAGUAAUCUUGAUCAAAGAAUGUCCUAAUGAAACGGAACAUUUUUGGUACGUGUAGAGCACAAUAUAGAAAACAGUAGAGUAGUUGUACGAUUGAACUGCAUCCAUCGACGUGGUGCAUGAAUUGUUGAGCCAACACUGGGGACAUGUCUUCAUGAACACCAUCUAGUGAGGACAGCAUGCAGAAAAAUAUCAAAACAUGUCAUAGGGAGGCAGACCAAUCUUGCGAGGUAGACGAAACGUGAUACACGAUCUGCCUACCUUGUCGUGGAUACCCCAAGUGAAGAUGUCAUAGAGGUGCAGACCAAGCUAGCAAGGAGGUAGAUGAAACGUGAUACACGGCCUGCCUACCUUGCCGUGGAUAUUAGUCCUGAUAUCAUUCUAUUGUUCAAGGAAUAACACUCAAUGCUGCUGCUGCUGCUGACCUGGCUCCAUAAAGUUAUAUUCCUCUAGCCGCUUGCACUAACUUUAUCUGAAGUAUUAUUCUCUCUGCACUGUAUAUAUGGUUACGGAGUUUGCUGGAGUAUCCGGGGGGAAGAACCUACAUAAUAUGUCUUGGAACUAACUGACAUUGAUUCACAGACAAGGUGCUGUUGUUGCCAUAUUUUAGAGCAUCCCAAAGGACUAUAAAUAAUAUAGUUUACCAUAUACCGUAUACCAUUAUAUGUUAGCUAAAAUAAGAGCAUAACAUGUCGCAGGAGUCCAAAAGCACCGGUUGAGGACCAGGUACAUUAAAUUACUAGAAAACGAAAGGGGACAAGGUUUAGGUAGCCACAUGAAAAACAUUUGAAUUUACUGUACCAUGAACACUUAGUUACCAUGCCGGGAGCACCUAGUUAACACUAACAUUUAGCCACUUUAGAUCAUCCCGAAACACCAAUGACCCUCAAUAGCGACAAAUUUUGGUUUAAAUGCCGUCACCAAUGAUCCUCAAUAGUGACGUGUUUAGGUUUAAAUCCCGUCACUAAUAACCCUUGGUAGUGACGUGUUUUGGUUUAAAUCUCAUCACCACUGAUCCUCACUAGUGACGUGUUUUUAGCAACACACGUUAUGAAUGACUUGUCAUUGGUGACAUGUUAAACGCGUUAUCUCAAUGGCAAAUCAAUGGUGACGUGUUUAAAAAAACAUGUCACCGUGAGAGUUAUUGGUGAAGGGUAAUUAAAAUGCAUCACUAAUUUUGUAGCAUUAGUUAUGAUAUAAUUUUGUAACGCAAAAAUCUACCAUAGUAACGAGGUUUAGAGCCGUCGCUAAUGUGGGUUUCUUACGUAGUGAUGCAAGCUCUACAAGGUGCUGUUGUUGCCAUUUUAAAGCAUCCCAAAUGACUACAAGUGUCUGGUUGAGGACUAAACAAAUUGAAUUACUAGAACCAAAUGUAUGUCCAGAACAAAGAAAGGGGUCAAGGUUUGGGUAACCGCAUUAAAAACAUUGGAUUUUACUGUACCAUGAACACUUAGUUACCAUUACCAUGCCUUGAGCACCUAGUUACCACAAACAUUAAUUUAGCCACUUUAGAGGUUCCUCAAUCACUAUAAAUAAUAUACCAACACCGUACCAUGAAAACAUCAAGAAGAGAGACAGGUACAUGGACCACCAUCAAGUGAGUAGUGACAGCAUGCACAAGAAUACCCGGAACCUUUUAGCUUGUCUGUAGUGAUCUGUUUUCUUCCCCGUAAAAUCCAUGAGUAUUGCCACAAAUAAUGAAAGAGGCUGACCAAGCUAGCAACGAGGUAGAGCAAACGUGAUACACGUAGGUUUCAUUCAAGACAUCCAUGUAAGAUUCAUUCAAAACAUUCAUGGAAAUUUCUUAUAAGUUUUCAUGUAAAUUUCAUUCAAGACAUUUGUUAGAGGUGUUGUAUAUAUACUUAACGUACAUAUAUCUAUGAUUUCAUGGUUGUUAGUGAUGGCAGAUGAGGAGCAUGCAAGGUAUUUAAUGGAGCAGAUUAUUGCUAGUGGCAGUGGCUCCAACCUGCCCGUAACGUACACCGACGAAGAGGGCAGCCAGGCGGACAUGUUCCUCAACAUGUCCGGUGAUGGCAAUGAAGAGCCCGAGCAAAACCUUGCCGUGACGGAAGGUUCCAGCGAGGUAUAUAUCAUUUCCAUUAUUUUACCCCAUCUAUAAUUUCAUAUUCAUUAUUACUAUGUACUAAUUAACGAAUCUUGAACCGUUAGCCCUCUAGAUCAACGAACCGAAAUAAGCCCCGAGGUCUUACAAAGAUAAUGCAGGGAAGGCUUCACAUCAUGGAAGUCACAGAAGAGGGCACCUCGGUUGCUCCCGAACAUGUGGCAAGAACGUACGUGAGUCAAACCGGGGCAAUCGUAAGGGACAACGUGCCCAUCAGCAUCAGGGAAUGAAAGAGCAAUAGAAAUGAUCUAUACGCACCCCCGGAUACACAAAAGGAUAUGCUGUGGGCAAAUAUCAAGAAACACUUCACAUUUCCCAAAGGAUAUGUUGAAAAAGAUGUGAAAGCGUGGAUGCUGAAGAAGAUGGCCACCCAAUUCCAAACAUUCAAGAAGAUGUUGGAUGCCAACUUCGUCAAGAAGGGUCGAACUCCGGGUUUCGAUGAGUGGCCAAAGUUAAGGGACCACUGGGAGUCAUUUGUCGAAUACAAGACGAGCGAAGGUGGUGCCAGUAAGGUUCGCAUCAAUGUUGCCAAUGCUAGCAAGGAGUACCAUCAUCAUCUAGGGCGACGUGGUUACAGCACUGCAAUUCCCAGAUGGCGCAAGAUGGAACAAGACUUGAUCGAUCGGGGUAUCGUACCAGCAACUCUUGACUGGCCUGAUCGAUUGAAAAAUUGGUAUUAUGCUCAUGAAGGCAAUCUGAGCCAAGAGGAUGCGACAUUGGUCUUCAAUAAAACAAUACAUCAGAAGGUCGGAAGGCUUAUUAGGAACAUUGAAGAUGCUAAAGCUGGGAGGUUCAAGGUGGAUAGAGAGAAUGAUGAACUCACAUUGGCCCUCGGGACUGUCAUCUCUAGCACUUCCAGCUCCAGGACUAUCAUCACCACCGGGACCGUCGCUUCUUGCUCGAUCACAGUCUCCAUCUCCAGCACAUCCUGGUGGUGCGAGCGACGACGACAACAACACCCCUCCCUGCCCACCAUUGCCGGGACUAAGACCCGCAUUGUGUAAGGAACCUGCAACACCACUGAAGAAGUCGCGACCACCACCUUCAAGGCAAGUCAGCAAAAGAAGAAAGCAGAGAAGCCUAAACCCACUGAGAAGCCAGCGACUGAUAUGACCGAUGCGGAAAGAUGGAAGGCACUCAAAGAAGAAUGCAUGGAGUGGUUCAGAAAAAGGACCAAAGAAAGAAAAGGAAAGGAGAUGGAGCCACCGCCAGUAGAUCCAAGAAAAUUAUAAUUUUUUAUUAAGAUGUCAAAAGGAGCUAAGAAGAUGAUGCCACAACUAUCAAACUACGACUGGGCGUUAGUCAAGGCUGAUGAGAGUUAAAAAAGGAAAGGAAAGUCAUCGUCAAGUGGUACUGUCCCCCAGCUCGAGGAUCUACCAGAAAAAGAUGCUAAAAAGAUAGUAGCAAUGCUCUUGGAUCAACAAACACAUAUAUCGUGAGAUUAAUGCAAGAAACAGGUAUGUCCCUUGCUGAAUGUCUAUGGCAAGUUGAUAUGCUAGCUCCAGAGCCAGUUGUACCGAAAUGGACCUUUGAGCUAGGCAAGCCUCUAGUAAGGCCUGAGUUGGUACAGAAGCUAUCCACAUAGAUGCAUGAAUUCCAUGAAUGGUACAUGAAGCAGUCUGCCAAUGAGAGGGAAAUGUUCGGUCUCGAGGAAAAACUAAUAAUUUUUUUCGGCGAAGGCGAGAAAGUCGUAUGAAUCAAAUUCAAGGAUAUAUAUGAAGUGAACCAUCAGGAUGCCCUUGAUGUCUCUCUCAUCAGCGCCUAGGUUUUGUAAGUGUAUGUUUAUCUAUACGUAAAUUUUGGCUCAUAUCAUUAUUUUUUUUGCGUGCGUCACCCUACUAACUUCGUCUUCCAUUUUAUGUAGGAUGCUAAUUCAGACGUGCCGCAUAGAAGCGUACUUCCAUGUUGGCUUCAUGGAUCCAUCCCUAGUUAACCAAAAGCCGAUACGGAAGUAGCUAGAGAAAACGUUGGAGGUGGUGUACAACUUUCUGGACAAACAAAACUACAGAAUAGGGGCAAUAUGUGAGGGUCUUGUAGGAUUCCUAGUGGACGAGGUGAUAAAUCCAUAAGGAGAAUAUCAUUACAACGGACGAGCAUUAGACACACUGAGCAACACCUAGACGGGAGGAUCCUAGGAAUGACCUCAACAGAUUUUGGUAUAAAUAGUAAUUGUGUAAAUACUAGUUUGAUUUGUAUAGGAAUAUACUAAGAAUUGUAUAUAUAGUAAUUGUACAAAUACUAGUUUGAUUUGUAUGAAUACUAGAUUGAUUUUAUUAUAAAAAAGUUUUAAGUCGUACGUGCAUGCGCCUACAAAGGCGCGGAUGCCCUUUAAUCCCAGUCGGAAAAACAAACCGGUACUAAAGGGGCUCGUGCCGCACCUGGCAUGACCACCCCUUUAGUCCCGGUUGAACGACCCAGGACUAAAGAUCUCCGCGUCUCAAAAAUUUUAUCUCGGAUGCUUUUUAGAGAGAUUUGAGGCCUAUCAACCAAGACUAAUAUCGAGUUUUCUACCAGUGGAACUAACUAACGUUCACAUGCUUUUGACAUUCACCUGCCAUUUGGUGUAGACAAGGGCACCCUAACAUAUGGUUAAUAUUAUUCUUGAAAGAAAAUCCUUUGAUUCAAAAUACUUCAAACCUAAUAAUACAAUACUUCUCACAUCUCAAAAAUAUGAGACGGCCCGACAGUAUUCUAACCGACGCAAUAAUAUUUUGAGGGCAGCACUACUACAGCGACCCUCAUUCGUGCCGGUGCUGGGACUCCUAUCACGACCCUGAUACAAAUGAGGGUACAUUAUUGGUGCCAGUGCUAGAACAGCCACCAAUAACUUGCUAAACGUGCUGUUACACUCACUACAGGGACCAAGAAGGUAGAUAAAUUACACGACAUAGCCUUGGUUGCCGUGGAAGCGCCAAGAAGGGAGACAAAUUACAGGGACCACACCAUCAAGUAGAUAGUGACAAUAUGCAGAUGAAUACCCGCGCCUGUUAGCAUGUGAACUGACCACACCACGAAACGUGAUACACGGCAAGCGUACCAAGGCCUUGCUGUGCAGACUAUGCGUGGACAACACAUGGUACCUGACCGCUUUUGGCCUCAGACACAUCGAAAAACUGCAUCGUUCCACGUUGUACAUCCACUGCUAGUUUAUCUAUAUUACAUAAUAUAUUAUUAGCUAUUUGAAUAGAAUGAACCAAUUAAAAAAUUGCGUUGUAUUUUAGUACCGGCUGCAGGAUGGUGUUACCAACCAGUACUAAUUAGCCUGUAGGAGUGAUGGUUAUUAGACUUGGUACUGUUGUUACAUCAUUAACCUAAUUGUGCGCGGUAUGAAUUUGGGGAUGCAAAGCUAGCUCUCUAUGAAUGUGAGGGACGGAAAGCUAGUUCUCUAGUAGUAAUUAGCUAUAUAUAUAUGACAGUCAAGAAAUCGAACACUAUGCUGCUACGAGUCACCAUCAUUUCCUUCAUUGAGAAUCUGACAUAGGUGAAGCUGCUUCAAGAAUUUCCUUCGCGCAGUCGUGGAGCUUAUUGGAUUAUCACCAGGACGGGACACGGAAAUGGCCAGCAAUGAAGCUGAUUGCCGUCUGAGGAAGACUACAUACUUUACCUAUGAAAUGAAGCGAUUGCAUAGACUAAUGAAGCAUUGCAUAUUUGCAUGUGAGUGUGGCAGAUAAUUCUGCAGGACAUGAUUGCAAUCCACGCACCAUCGAGAAGACUGGGGCGAUGGGGUUGCCUCAUCAAUAAUCACGUGGAUGCAUGCAUGCAUGUUCCCGCAACCGGACAAGGGUCUGAUAUAUGGCUAUAGUAUUACUGAGCCCACAUCAAUAAUUUCCGCUGGUGUAUCGUGUGGGAAGAAUCAACAUACUACACCUCGAGUUCUUGGAACUAACUGACGUUCACAUGCAACCUCCACAAGGUGCUGUAUAUAUGCUUUUGACAUUCACCUGCCAGUUCGUGUAGAGGACACCCUAACGUAUGGUUAAUAUUAUCCAUUUCAUGAGUAAAAUACUGUGAUUCAAAAAUACUUCAAAUCCCUUGAGACAAUACUUCUCACUUGACUAACCACUAACCAACCCCGAAACCCUAACUCAACUCCGAACCCUAACACCUAACGGCAUAACCACUCCGUUUUGCCAGCCAGAUGGAGGAACUGGCUGGGAGGGAGAGAGGGCAGCGGUCCAGGGUUGAAAACGACGGGCGAGCGCAGUAACAUGUGGAGGAGGAAGUGCCACGUAUUCGUUCACCGCUAUUGGGCAGCGACACACAACACGCCCAAUAAGAUCUUCGCACGGUAGAAGGACGUCAUGUAUUCAAUAAUGUUAUUGGUCCUCCAUGUGCAGAAGGGCGCGUAUGGAAUAACAAGUAGGGACACUGCAACUAAUCUACUCUGCUCGUCCAGUCCCUAGCCUAUAAAUAGAUGCCAUGCUAGCUCUUGUUGUGCUCACAGUUAAUCCGAUUACACACGAGCUCCUCUCCCUAGCCAAGACACAAUCAUAGUAUGAUGAAGAACAUGGCACUAGCCGGCAAUGGUAUGAAGAAGUUAAUCCUCGCUGUUCUCUUACUGUGUCUAGUUAUAGGGCAGAUACAAGUGGAAGCUAAGAGCUGCUGCCCAUCCACCACUGCAAGAAAUGUCUACAAUACCUGCCGUUUGACGGGUGCAUCCCGUCCAAUGUGUGCAAAACUGUCAGGCUGCCAAAUUAUCAGCGGGAACAAAUGCAAGCCCCCUAACGACCACCUCACCCUUGACCCGGACACUGGUAAAUAAUAAAUUUAUCUCACUUGAUUUCUUUGUGUUUUGAGUCGUUAAUGUAUUUUCCAUCUGAUGAAACGCAUUGGUUUUGCAUUGAAGAGGAAGUUAAUGUGCUUAACUUCUGCAAGUUGGGGUGUGCGUCGUCUGUGUGCAACAACAUCAACGCUGGUAAGCACCUUUUGCUCAGACAGAGAAAACAAUAAUCAUUAAUUAGCGGCAGCUAGAAUCCUAUAAUCUAAUAUAUAUAUAUAAUUUUAUCAGCUCUGGGAAAUGAAGAGGCGAACGAUGCCGUUGAGAGUUGCGACCAAGCCUGCUCUAGCUUCUGCAGCGUGCAUGUUGGCAGCGCCACCGUGGUUGCUUAAGCAAAUGCAUCCAACUAGAUCGUCCUUGUGCUGAAUAAUUGGAUAUCGUAUCCACUUAAAGCUGCCUUGUGUAGUACGUCUUUGUGUCUCUCUUUAUAUUCCAAUAAGGUCGGUGAUCUUGAUGCCACACACUCAGAUGUGUGUUCAUCUCCAGAUACUACUCCAUGCUACCUGCCCUUUGUGUUUUGUUCAAUAACUGGGUAUCAUAUCCGAGCCAGUAUGCCGUCUGUUUUGUGUUUGUUUCCUUCUAGUUCCAAAGGGGUCAUCAUGAUGUUACCUUCUUUCAAUAUGGUGCUUUGCAUGACUACUGUUGUAUGGUACCAUCUUGUGGCCAAUAAGUACAUCUUAUCCUAUGACCCUUUGCUAUGACCCUUUGCAAAUAAGUAGAAGAUUGUUAUAAGCGUCAAUACUCAGUAUAAUUGAUCGCUGCUGUGAGUUCCCUUUCAGCUUAUCGUAGGCAUACAUUAUUGCUAGCACGGUAAAGCCAACCAACACGAAUGAUGAAGUAAACGUAGCGGUACUUCUGUAUACCAACACCCUUACUUAAAUGUACCGGUGUCAUUCCCUACUGGCACAUAUAUUCUUAUAUGCUAGCCAGCUUGUAAAAUUAACCAAUUAAAAUAAUUAUUUCAAGAUAGAAAUAACUUAUUGGCUUCUCGAAGCAUGUGUAAUGUGAAUUCAUGAGACUUCAAGCAACCAGGAAAAGACACUAAUAAACAUCCAGAUCCCAUCCAGCACACAUCCAUGCACAUAUAUAACCCACAUAUUGCUCCAGCACACAUCCAUGCAUAUACGAUAUCCAAAUGUUAAUAUUGUAGACAUCCAUGCCUGAACUAGUCUGCCACACAAGUCAUUGAUGCUACAAAUUCUACAAUCGCAGCAUGUGCAUACAACUUACAGAAUGAGAUAAUGUACCAAAACUAAAACGUUAGCAUCAACUGUGCUUCAACCAAAGUUGUCAUCCCAACUCUCCUCUUCAUCCAUGCCAUUCUUGUCAUGGCCGUCGCUGUCAGUCUCCAUGGCAUUGCCAAUGCUGUGUAUGUCUUGGUAGGAACCUACAUGUGAUGAACAGUAACCUGCAAAAAGAGCUCAAAGGAUCUUGUUCUCAUAUUGUAGCUGUGAAAUUCUUGCAAGUAGUGUUGCAAUCUGUUCACUUUGAACCAAAAGAGCUCAAAGGAUCUUGUCCUAAAAGUUCCUCUUAAAGCUUAUGGGUUUGCUGGUGGAACCGGAAGGGCUUGAUGCAGCAGAUGCCAUUCUGCAAUAGAGAAAAAUUUAGAGGGCAGUACUAGUUAAAAUUUGAUGCAGCAGAUACACACGAAACUAGUAUUUAUACAAUUCUAUAUAUGUAAUAAUUUGUCCCCUAAAUUUUUAGGAUCCUCUUGAUGGUGGUGAGUCUUCCAGUAAGGCAAUUGAAUGUCCGUCAUAAUAAAAUUCUCCUUAGGAUUUAUCAUCUCGUCAACCAGAAAUCCUAGGAGUGCUUCUUGGAUUGCCAAAACCCUAUCCUGAUGCAGGAGUUCGUCCUUAAGCCUUAACAUUUGUAAUUUGGAAAUAUGUGAAAGUUAAACCAACAAUUAAAAUAUAAGGAGCCUUAUCAUCAUUUCCAUGUGUUGCGAAUUAAAAUAAUGAAUAAUACAGUGUUAGGUGAAAAUUCAAGAAACAAAAUUUUGCAUAGAGAUAAACGUCCAACAUUAUUACAAGUUAAGGUAGUUUUAAAUAUCCUUGUAAUCUUCCUUUGAUUUCCUCAACGAUUCGAAGACAAUAACCUUACUUCUAUCAAUGAUAAUUAUAAGGAGAACCCAGUGAAAACUGUGUAUUCAUAUUAGAACUACCUAAGGUUAAUUAGGUUAGGAAAGGAAAUCGAAAAUAGAUGGUACCCACACUUACUUAAAGUUGUCGGGCAAUAGUAUGUAAUGCUUGUAAUUCCGUUGCUCCAAGAAUUUGUAUAUGUGGUCCAAUGUAGACUUUGGUUGAUUCCGUAUCUGCUGUUGGUUAAAUAAGUGUUUCUAGCCAUUACUAGCCGUUAGAACUCGGACUAAAGGGGGCUCUUUAGUACGGGUUGAUAUUACUAAUCGGGAUUAAAGAGCCCCCAUUAGAGUUGGUUUUUGGACGCGGAACUAACAACUCCUUUAGUCCUAAGUACAAAAAUGACUGAAAUAUUUGUUGCUGGAUGGAAGGUCCUUUCUCUACCAUGAAUAUUGCCAGAAAGAAUUGAAAGAGACUGCUUGCUAAAAAUAUGUCAUAGAUGUAGACCAAGCUACCAAGGAUGUAGACCAAACAUGAUACACACCAUGCGUACCUUGCUGUGCAGACUAUGCAUUGACAAGAUAGAAAUAAUUAAUUCUAAUAUGCGUACCCUUACUUACACUAGUAGAGAAUUGGGCUUUAAUCCCGGUUGGUAAGGUGCAAAUAUCUCGAAAAUGCAUCCGGGAUAAACCAACCGGGACAAAAGGGGGAUCUUUUAUCCCGGGUCACUCAACACGCGAUUUUUCACAAAAAAAAAA